rnacentral:lncRNA from 1 species
CCCGAGUCGAAGCUCUGCCCGCGAGAAGUUCGAUUUUCGAGGAGAUCUUCCAGAUCUGCUGUGGAUUACUACUUCUAUAAGCCGUAGUGCUGUCGGAUCGUCUUCUGAUCAAGUGAGUGUGUAGUUAUUUCUUCUAAUACAAUAAUACGAAGUAUUUUAUAUAAAAAUACGUGCUAUGUGUAUAUAUUUGGUUGUGUUAUGUGUGAAUGAGUAUUCACUCUCUUCUAUCUUAUAGAUCUGCUUAUUUCUUUAUGAGAUAUGUGUUAUGUGUGUGUGCCUCAUCUGUUAUGUGACAUAUGUGUUGAUUAAAGCAUGCUAUACAGGUUUUCUUUAAACUACGUAUGAAAAUAUAUAUUUUUAUCUACUAAUAUGUUGGGUAGAACAUGGGUAGAUAGUUGGUGUGUAAUAAACAGAUGAGAGGCCUCGAUGUUGUUGUUGUUGUUGAUCUAGUUAUUCAGCGGAGUAUGGAUAACGACCACGGACUCUUUCUAGACAGUCCAGUGGAACGCUAGCAGGUUCAUAACCUGUAGGUGUUGUGAACGAUGUGUUCACCGGUGUACUCUAUCCCCCUCAUGGUUGCCUUUAGGAUAUCUAUUGUUGAGGAAACCCCUUCGCAGUGAUGUCCGUCCCGAUGAAAAUCCUAGAUUAGGUCCCUUGAGAUAGUUGUUUUAGGGACGUAAAGUGAGGAUAACGGGAAUGGGUAAUCGGGAUAGUGUUUGGUUGGUGAAAUUAAAUAUAACUUAUUUAUUGUGGGUUGAAAACCCUAUAUGCUCACCAGGCUCCCAAGCCUGACCCACUCAGUUUUAUUUGUAUUACAGGAAGUGGCACAAGGGCGUAAGAUGGAUGGAUCAUCUUGUUGUUUUGUUUACAAGUCUGUAUAUGUAUAUAUUUGUUGAAUGACUUGUAAUGUUUAUCGUUUAUGCUUUAUGGUCUGUAUCAGAACAUGACAUCCCGAGUUUUGAUUAUAUAAUGAAAUGCAUCUCUUGAUGAAAUGCUUCGAUAAAUAUUAUUUUAUCAUGUUUUGUUUUGGGAACAAAUUCCGCAACUCUUUCAAAUCAAAAGGAUUUACUCUGAAAAUAUUUAAAAGCAUAAAUGAAAAUCGGUCUUUUCUGGCCGAGAUUUUGGGGAUGUCACACUUUUAGACCAGAUUCUGGGCAGAGUGUGCCCAGGCGAUUGAGGCGCAGCAGUUGGCGCAAGAGGUGUUAAAUCUCCACUAAGAGAUUGAGACUGUGGCAGAGAUCACUGCCAAGUCUCGGGAAAGAGCUUAUAUGGUGCCACAAUAUGUAGCAGAUGAGGAAAUGAAGACGGUAAGUUAUUAGAACAUACUGUAGAAUGAUAGCAGGGAGAUCAUGAGUAUCUCGGGGUGCAAGACCCUGAAUGAUAUGACUUCUAGAGCACGAGAGCGGGAUAUUGACUUAGAGCACAUUGUUAAGAGGGAACCAUAUCAGUUUCUUAUAGUGAAGGGUCUCGGGAGGAGAUCGUAGAUUUCAGAUCAACUUUUAAGAGGCCAACAGGGUUAGAUUCAGUACAGCACGUGUGGGAAACUGCAUGAUAAAGUCUUUCGUUCCAGGGGUUGAGUAGUGUGACUCUGGGUUAUCCUCCGUUUGUGUUUGAAUUAUAUGUUCAAGAGAUGUCAUAUGCCAAUUCCAUGCCGAGAAGCAUUAACGAAUAGUGAUAGAGCAAUUCCCCAGAUUACGGGAUUGGGAAGGUACAAUGUCAUCUUGGUUUAUUCCAAGACUGAGGAGCAGCAUGAGAAGCACCUGAGGGAGGUGCUAGAGACUUUGAAGAGGGAGAGAAUUUUCAUAAGGUUCUUCAAUUGUGAGUUCUGGUUGUGCGGGGUGAAAUUUCUUGGGCACCUUGUUAAUCAGAAGGAUAUUCUAGUCGAUCCGGGCAAUAUAGAGGCCGUGAUGCAGUGGGAGAUUCCGAGGUCUCCAUUUGAGAUUCGGAGCUUCCUGGGUAUAGCAUGUUAUUAUCGGAAAUUUAUUCGGAUUUUUAGAAGUUGUGUGAUCUUUUGGAUUAGCUAGUGUUGAAACACUAGCAAUGGUAAGUGUGGUUUCUAGCAGAUUGGUCAUGGGUGGUGAGAAGGAUUGGGAAUUCUUCCAGUUUUGUGUGCUGUAGGGCAUUAGCUGAAUCAAAGUGGGGGAGAAUCACCCAAGGAUUCAGAAGCAGGAGCAGUUUUGAGACUAGGAUAAGUUUCGCAUCCUUAUUGGGAAGGAAGAUAGCCCAAGCGGUUGUAUGGUUUGAGGAUAGUGUGAGAUGGAAGUUCGGAAAAGCCUGCCAAUAAGGAGAUCGUGUUCCCGUGAUGUUACUAGCAAGCCUUAGGGAAUCAGGUUUGGGAUUCCAGUCAGGACACGAGUUCAGCUGAGUGUGGGGCAAGCGCGUGUUCGAUCCAGUAUUAGAGUGUUGUAAGCCUGCGGGUGUAGCCGUAGCAUUCACUAGCAGUCAGAUAGCAUUAGAGUGUUGUAAGUCUGCGGGUGUAGCUGUAGCAUUCACUAGCAGUCAGAUAGCAUCAGAGUGUUGUAAGUCUGCGGGUGUAGCCGUAGCAUUCACUAGCAGUCAGAUAGUAUUAGAGUGUUGUAAGUCUGCGGGUGUAGUCGUAGCAUUCACAAGAUUAGCAGAUAGUACUAGAGUGAUGUGAGUCUGUGGGUAUAGCUGCAGCCUUCACUAGGUUGGUAGAUAGCGUGAGUGCGUUAUUAGAACGCGAAAAGAUCAGUAGUACCCACCAGUUCGGGUAUAGCAGUGAGGAAAUGGAAAUCCACGGAUUAGAUUUUGGAAUUUCCCAGACGGAUGAGACCUGGUUAAGCCAGUGAUAAGAUUGUAGAAGCGCGACUAUAGAGAUAAGAGCAAGGAAGCAGUGGACUGCUUAAGGUCAUUUAUGACAUAAGGCUACCUUUGGUGAUGUAGCAAUCGCGUUUAGCUUUGGGUUUGGUGACGUCAGGAUUCGACACAUGGAACCAAUCAGUUAGAGCAGAAGGCCGUUAGGGCCACAGUGUCAGGAUAACUAGUAGCAGCUAGAUCCAUAGAAGGAUUUCAUCCAGAAGUCGUGCGAGGCGGCUAAGUAGGGAGUCCUUUGGCUCUGCAGUUGGGCUGGAACCUGAUAUUUCAGAUGAUUGGCGGAAAAUUGAGACCAGGUAGGUCUCGGUAGAUGUUGGGAAGCAGCCAUGUGGCAGUUCAGUGUUUCAGGCAGUUCACUAUUCAGGCAGUUCAGUGUUUCAGGCAGUUUAGUGUUCGGGCAGUUCAGUGUUUUAGACAGUCAGUGUUUCAGGCAGUUCCGUGUUUUCAGGCAGAUCAGGGAUUCAGACAGUUUUGGGUCUCCAUCAGUGAUGGUAUUUGAGGAUCUCAUGUAUGAUAAGCGUAAGAGAUUGCUGAGUAAUUCUUAGUCACCCACCGCGGGGUUCAGCUAUAAUGAUUCAGUAUGAGUGGUCUGUUAGGGAUUCAGAUCAUCUAGAGAUAGCAAACGUCAGACAGAGUACAUGACAGCUUGUUGCGAGGGAUUAGUUCGCCUGCAAAUGUUAGGGUUUUGUGAUGAUUGGUUACAGCUACCUUGAGAAGGUUAGGGUGCGCCCAGGAUGGUGACCAUGUUACUUGAGUGGUUAGCGUGUAAGGUAUGAUAAGGAUUGAUUUUGAGGACGAAAUCUAAUUUAAGUGGGGGAGAGUUGUAACACCCCGUUUAUAAAAUAAAUAAAUAAAUGUAUAGAAGCCCUAAAAUGAAUAAUAAUUGAGCGAGAUGAUAGUUUUGAGGAGUUAAAAGUCAUAAUUACAGAAGUCAGGGUGCGUUUGGUAAUUAAUGGACUUAAAUUGAAAAGAUUUGAAGGCUUAAGGGUUUAUUGGUGAUUUAUGGAUCUGUUAUGAAAGAAAUUUAUGGGUUCAGGGUUUAAAAGGUAAGUUUUGGAUGCAAUCUGUAAAGAUUUCUGUGGGCAGGGUCUAUUUGGUAUGUUUUGGACUUUGAUUGAAAACAAAUUAGGGUGGAGGGGCUGAAGUUGAAUAAUCUGAUCAUAUGUUUGAAAUAAGAUACGGGAUAUACCCGUAUCCCUUCCCCACGUCAUUUCCUUCAACCCUAAAACUAAGAGACCAUUUCUUUGCUCCAGCCGCCAUCACCAUGCGAUUUUCCUCCAGCCGCCACCGCCGAUCUCAGGUCCGAUUUCCAUCCCUCCACCUGCAACCUUACCGUCGGACGCCACCCAACAGCCCCUGGUGCCGAUGUCGUUGUGUGCAACCGUAAGAGUCGACGAAAACCAAAGAUGGAGGCCGAGAACGUCGUCGAAUGGUCCAAGAGCGAUCUGGAACUUCUCGGUAUGCCAGCAACACUUGAUUUCUUCAUUCUCCUAUUCGAUUUCAAUGUCGAGAUCAUUGUUGUCGCCGACAACGACUUUUGGUCGCUACCCCCCAGCUUGUUUCAGCGUCGCUAGCCGCCUAGUCAGUGGUGGGAGCGGUGGUCUCGUGUCACGCAAAUAUACAUAUUGCUGUCGAACCAUGAAGUGUUGUGAGAUUGUUGCUGGCCGGAAAUCGAGGAAAAGAACCACCAUGGCCGCCUGCCAUGGUGGUCGUCGCUACUGCCGCCUCCCGGUGAUGCUGNNNNNNNNNNNNNNNNNNNNNNNNNNNNNNNNNNNNNNNNNNNNNNNNNNNNNNNNNNNNNNNNNNNNNNNNNNNNNNNNNNNNNNNNNNNNNNNNNNGUUUAGUCGGAAUCCUCGGGAAAAGCCACUGCCACCACGAGCCGCCGUCGGCCACCAUGGUGUGGUUGUGUGUGUAUGUUAGUUAGUUAGUGGUGUGUGUUCAUUUUGAUUAAAGCAUUAUAACUGUAAUUGCCAAAAGAAUAAUGAAAAGAAAUGGAAAACCACCACCGUAAGGUGGUGGCCGCCGCCACGAGCCGCCAUGGACCACCACUACCCAAGGUGGUAGGGGGUGGUGUCCCACAAGCAAAACCCUAAUGGGCUUAGAGAUUUAUUUUGGGCCUAUUGGGCCACGUUUGGAUGAGGAACCCUAAUUAGGGUUUAGAAAACCCUAAUUGUGAGUGUUUGGGCCUUAGACUUAUUGGACCCACUUUUGGGCCAUUGAGAUGGGAUUAUGUAUUAAGCCCAAUCACUCCAUCUCAUUUAUCUAGUAGAGUAAAGGACUUAAUGGACUAAGUCCUUAAUGGGCUAAUUGAGAAAAUACUAAUAUUUAAGAGAUUAUCAGCACACACACGAGAAUUAUUUAAUAAGUGAAUAUUAAAUAAUAAUCAUUGGCAGAAAUUAAUCUAAGCAAUAAUGGACUUAAUGGAUUAAGUCCUUAAUGGAUUAAGUCCCUAGUGUGUUAAGUCCUUAGUGGGUUAAGUAAGAAACACUUAACCCUAGUUAUCAUUUGAUGUGAAACCCUAAUUUCACUUGGGCUUUGUGUUGGGCCAUCCGAGAAUAAUCAAAUGGACUAGAGUAAUUAGUUGGGCUUUAGGGUAAGGCCCAUAUGAAGGAUUGGGCCNNNNNNNNNNNNNNNNNNNNNNNNNNNNNNNNNNNNNNNNNNNNNNNNNNNNNNNNNNNNNNNNNNNNNNNNNNNNNNNNNNNNNNNNNNNNNNNNNNNNNNNNNNNNNNNNNNNNNNNNNNNNNNNNNNNNNNNNNNNNNNNNNNNNNNNNNNNNNNNNNNNNNNNNNNNNNNNNNNNNNNNNNNNNNNNNNNNNNNNNNNNNNNNNNNNNNNNNNNNNNNNNNNNNNNNNNNNNNNNNNNNNNNNNNNNNNNNNNNNNNNNNNNNNNNNNNNNNNNNNNNNNNNNNNNNNNNNNNNNNNNNNNNNNNNNNNNNNNNNNNNNNNNNNNNNNNNNNNNNNNNNNNNNNNNNNNNNNNNNNNNNNNNNNNNNNNNNNNNNNNNNNNNNNNNNNNNNNNNNNNNNNNNNNNNNNNNNNNNNNNNNNNNNNNNNNNNNNNNNNNNNNNNNNNNNNNNNNNNNNNNNNNNNNNNNNNNNNNNNNNNNNNNNNNNNNNNNNNNNNNNNNNNNNNNNNNNNNNNNNNNNNNNNNNNNNNNNNNNNNNNNNNNNNNNNNNNNNNNNNNNNNNNNNNNNNNNNNNNNNNNNNNNNNNNNNNNNNNNNNNNNNNNNNNNNNNNNNNNNNNNNNNNNNNNNNNNNNNNNNNNNNNNNNNNNNNNNNNNNNNNNNNNNNNNNNNNNNNNNNNNNNNNNNNNNNNNNNNNNNNNNNNNNNNNNNNNNNNNNNNNNNNNNNNNNNNNNNNNNNNNNNNNNNNNNNNNNNNNNNNNNNNNNNNNNNNNNNNNNNNNNNNNNNNNNNNNNNNNNNNNNNNNNNNNNNNNNNNNNNNNNNNNNNNNNNNNNNNNNNNNNNNNNNNNNNNNNNNNNNNNNNNNNNNNNNNNNNNNNNNNNNNNNNNNNNNNNNNNNNNNNNNNNNNNNNNNNNNNNNNNNNNNNNNNNNNNNNNNNNNNNNNNNNNNNNNNNNNNNNNNNNNNNNNNNNNNNNNNNNNNNNNNNNNNNNNNNNNNNNNNNNNNNNNNNNNNNNNNNNNNNNNNNNNNNNNNNNNNNNNNNNNNNNNNNNNNNNNNNNNNNNNNNNNNNNNNNNNNNNNNNNNNNNNNNNNNNNNNNNNNNNNNNNNNNNNNNNNNNNNNNNNNNNNNNCAUUAGUAUCUACGAGUCCAAUAACCUAAACAAAAAUCCAUAUCGACAACUCAAAUUUUGUAAUUCUAAAUUCAUUUGCUUUUCUUGUUAUUUUUAUUAUUGUAUUUAUUAUACAACUUAUAAUAUAUGAUAUUUGAACUUCAUUACGUUUUUAAACUUCAUUAUGUUUUUUUUUAAACUCCUUGACUUAUUAAUUUUAAGAAAGAGAUAACUAAAAUGGAGUUUGUUGUUUCAAUUGAAUUUAAUUUUUUAUAUUUUACUGGGUACCCGUGAACCGAACCGUGGUUACCCGCUUUCAUACGGUUCGGUUCGGUUUGGUUUUUUUUGUCAAUAUGGUUCGGUUUCGGUUAGUGCGCAUGAGGUACCCGCCCCGUGGUCACGGUUCAUAAUUUUAUUACUAUCCGAACCGAACCACCCUAUGAACACCCCUAUAUGACAUAAGUAUUUAUUAUCAUAGUUAAAGACUUACAGUACCUUGAAUUUGACAACCGUUUUGUUCUUUUGGUAUAAAAGUGUUUUUUGCGAUUAAGUUGCUCAGAUUGAAAUAGGCAAUUAAGGUGUUAUAUCUUUUUGACUUAAUGGUUGUUGAUUUUACAUAUUUCUAAUCAAAGUUCGUUUUGUAUGGAUCAUUUACUAAUAAGCAAUACUCAUCAUGGACCAUAAACUUUUUUUUUUUGUUUUUUCCAAAUAGGUUUUUAUUAUUUAAUAAAUAACUAAAUGUUAAAUAGAUUUUUUUUAAUACACCGUUAUAUUAACAAAAUCCUUUUAUAUUUUUUCCCUUCUAAUAAGUGGGGUGUUUUUAUACCAUUACAUUAACAAAAAAAUAUUAUGUCAAAGUUUCAUUUUUUAUGGUUUGAAAACUAAUUUUUUUUACUACAUAUACUUUUUAUUAUUCGUGGAGAAAAACAAUUCGUUACCCACCAAAAAGAAAAAGAAGUUAUGUCGAAUUUAUUUUAACCUAAAUUAGAAACACAUUGUUAUUUUUUACCAAAUACUGGAAACCUACUUUUAUAUUUUAAACCCAAAAUGCCAACGUACUUUUAUCGAUCAAUGGCCAUUGGAUUUCGUGAAAUGCUUAUGUUGUAAUUUUUAACCGUUGCUCUAUAUGUCUGUAUUUAAUUAUUUUAUCUCCUACAUAUAUGGUAACAUGAUAUUCUAUAUUAAAAAAAAGAGAGUUUGAGUAUUCGUUUGUAACAAUAUAGACUGGAAAUAUAAAAACUCGGUAAUGACAGUUUCAUGAAAAGAAAAGCAAUUCCAUAUAGAUUGGAAAAAACAGGUUGAAUAUUUUAAAAACAUACCCAUCAAAAUGGUCAAAGUUCCAGAACAAGUUUAGAUGUUAAGGUAAUUUUCAGUUAAUAUUCUGAAUGAUUAGUUGCAGUUUGCUAGGAAGUGACGAAUAAAUGGUUAGUAUUUGAGAUUGUAAGAAAUAAAGAAUUAUCAAUAUUUUGUAACUUGGUUAAAGUUAAUGGCUUUUAUGGUUUGGGCAAACAACAUUAUGUUUAUAUUUUUAAAAUCUAUAUGUUUUAUUUUAUGAAUCGUGGUUUCCAUAGGUUUAAACCUAGUACACGUAUAAUAGAAGUUUUAUUAAGGUAUUGUAACUAAGAUGAAUAAUUAAGAUAUGAAACCUAUAAUAUUCAACCAGAAAGUUGUACUAUUAAUGAGUUAUAAUGUAAAAAAAUAAAACUUUUCAAGAUCAUUUAAAAAUAAUCGAAAAAAGUUAUUUAUUUAUUUAUUUAUUUUUUAUUUAUUUAUAAAAGUACGAUGCUAAUAAUGAACUUUUGUUGCAAAGUUCAAUACUAAAAAUAACUUUUUCCCACAAAAUUGUCUUGUUAAGCAUUAUAUUUUGAAAAAUCUAAUUAUAACAUUGUAUUUUCGAAUAAAAUGAAAGUUAAAUGUUAUAAAAGAAUAUAAAAGAAAGUUAGACACUAUAUAUAAAAUUUACAUAAGACAAAAUUGCAAUGAUUUUAGUCCAAAAAAUCUGUUGGUAUAUAAAUAGUCUAAUUUCAGAUUUUUUUUAGUAAUUUGGUCCAUGUACAGUUAAAAUGACUUUUAUUCCCUUAUGAUUUCCUUUUUCCUAUUUUUUAUUUAUAUUAAUGUUUUUAAUCAAUUAAAAAUAAAAGAUAGGUUCUCUCUCUCCCUCUCUCUCAUGUUCUUGACGAAAGGAAACUAGCAUUUGUGAUGUAAAUCAACCACAUAGAUGAUCUGUCUUACUCACUCUCGUGUUUGGGAGGAAAGAUCACCAACGAGAUAAGUGAUUUUAAUCUCCAAGAAGAAUCACAAGAAGAAUCACAGAAGAAAGCAUCAAAAAAAACUCAAAUGUUCUACCUGUCCUUUGUGACCCAAGCAAAAUCCACAUAACAAAAUCAUCAAAAAAAAAAAAACUCAAAUAUUCUACUAUCUAUACUCAAACUCAUUUACUCUCAACUAGAUAACAAAAUUGACAUAGAUGAAGAAAUCCCAACUCUGACCUGAACUCAACGUCUCAACAUAUUUCGACUUCAUCUUCUCCAACAAGUAAACCUCUAUUCCUUGACCUUAAUAUUCAUCUCCUUCUUUCUUCUUCUCCCAUCUUAACGCCUUCAUAAUCUGUCUCAUCACAGGCCGCAGUUUUGCAUCUUGAUGUGUGCUCUCUUGUUCUUGUACUUCACCUCCGACGAACCACCACCACCCGCUUCGUCUACAAGUUUCUAACAAGAUGGUGACGUCAAAUCGGAUAGGGUAGGUGAUUUAGACGAAGGGUGGGUGAUUCACUUUGUUUUGAUCUCUUUCAUGUUUUUUCGAAAAACAAGAAUUUGAUUGAAAACCUCGUCUUCUUCCAUCACACGCCAAGAAAGAUACGAUUUUACAGCGAUGCCAAACAUUCCACUUUGGGAUUUGCCUGAACCGCCAAUAAUAAGCUUCCUCUUCACCUUCAACUCCAGAAAACUCGCACCUUCUCCCCACCCACUACCUUUUCUUUUAAUUAGGUGCUUAAAGUUAGCACGAUUCCAAUUAAAGUUACCAGGAUCUAGGAUGAACACCCACACACCAUUGCAUCUAACACAAUGUUUAGUUUUUUUAUACUUUUUGUAUUCCGUUUUAAUUUGUUAGUAAUUUAAACAAACUUCAUUUAUCCUAAUUAUGGAUUAAAAGACAUUAAGAUAUCUAUGAAAUAGAUAAAUAGAUUUAAUAAAGUCCUAAUAUUUUGGAAAUUUUUUUAAUAAAGUCCUAAAUUUUAUUUUUUGAACAAAAAAAAAAAUCCUAACUUUUUCACUUUUUGAAUAGAAAAGCCCAAGAACCGGCUAAUUUAUUCGCUUUAGCCAUUUUUGACAUGUCCAGACCUAAUUGUUAAUUUUUCGAAAAUAUUGAGACUUUUUUGCAGAUUUCGAUAAAAUUUGUAUAUAAUGUAUAAACAUAUUUUUUACGUAUUUAUAUCUAUUUUUACAUAUUUGUCUAUUUUUUAAGUUUUUAUACGUAUAUAUUAACAUAUUUUUAUGUAUUUUAAAUGUAUAAAUGUAUUUUUUUACUUAUUUAUAUGUAUUUUUAACCAUUUUACAUAUUUUUUAUGUAUUUUUAUGUGUUAUUUUAUAUGUAUUAUAUCUUUAUAUGUAUUUUUAUGUAUUUUUUUAUGCAUUUAUGUAUUUUUUUAAGUUUUUUAUAUAGAUGUUUAUAUAUUUUAAAUGUAUAAACGUAUUUUUUACGUAUUUAUAUAUAUUUUUAAGUAUUUUACAUAUUUUUAUGUAUUUUUAUGUGUUUUUACACUACAUAUUUAUGUAUUUUUUAAAGUUUUUUAUAUAGAUGUUUAUGUAUAUUUAUGUAUUUUAAAUGUAUAAACGUAUUUUUUACGUAUUUAUAUAUAUUUUUAAGUAUUUUACAUAUUUUUUGUGUGUUUUUAUGUGUUUUUUUUAUGUAUUAUGUAUUUAUAUGUAUUUUUGCGUAUUUAUGUAUUUUUUAGUUUUUUUAUAUAGAUGCUUGUGUAUUUUUAUGUAUUUUAAAUGCUUACUUGUAUUAUUUUUACGUAUUUAUGUAUUUUUUUACUUCAUGUUGUCUUCACAAUUUCAUCUAUUUUUUUUACUUCAAGUCGUCUUUACCAUUUCGUCUAUAUAUGAGUAUGUAGGAAAAUCAUCUAGACAUACCCGAAGAAGAUAUACGAAUUGGAUGAAAUAAUGAAGACGACUUGAAGUAAAACAUAAAUAAAUACGUAAAAAAAUACAGCUAUACAUUUAAAAUACAUAAGCAUCUAUAUAAAAAACUUUAAAAAAAAUACAUAAAUACAUAAAAAUACAUAUAAAUACAUAAUACAUAAAAAAAACACAUCAAAAUACAUAAAAAUAUGUAAAAUACUAAAAAAUACAUAUAAAUAUGUAAAAUACUUAAAAUACAUAUAAAUAUGUAAAAAUACGUUAAUACAUUUAAAAUACAUAAAAAUACAUAAACAUCUAUAUAAAUCUUUAAAAAAAAUACAUAAAUACAUAAUACAUAAAAAAAUAACACAUAAAAAUAAAUAAAAAUUAUAUAAAAUAGUUAACGAUGCAUAUAAAUAUGUUAAAAACAUGUUUAUAAAUUUAAAAUACAUAAACAAUGUAAACAUUUACAUAUAAAAACUUAUAAAAAGACAUAAAUACGUAAAAAUAUAUAUAAAUAGAUAGUACAUAAAAAAUAACACAUAAAAAUACAUAAACAUAUACAUAUAAAAAAUUUUAUAUAUAUAUANAUAAAUUAUUUAGUUUUUUGGGCUUUUCUAUUUAAAAAAGUUAAAAAGUCUUUUCUAUUUAAUAAAUAAAAUUUAAGACUUUAUUAAAAAAAAAUCAAAAUAUUAAAAGUUUUCUGUAGAUUUUCCUAUAAACAUAUGAUAUAUAUACUUUACAUAUCAUUCAUAAAUUAUAUUAAAUUAUUAUUUGUACUGUAACGAAAAAUUAAAAAAAUACAAAUAGUUGAAAAAAAUCCUUCAUAAAUUUAAAAUAUUAUAAAUAAUGUAUAUAAGAUAAUGGUAAUGGGUACUCUUCACUUCAUGUACAAUGGAAAAGAAAAAGUUGAAAUAAUGUAUAAAAAUUGUCAUUGUUGUUGGCUAUGUCAAACGGUCUAAAUAUUAAGAACUACACCUUUAAUUGUCAAUCUACAAAUUUACCUGUGAUUUCAUCAUUUAAGAAUUUCUUCUCAAUAAUGUAUAAGAUCUACUAAAAAAUAAAUAAGUUUUUCCCUGUAACCGAGCAUAAAAUAGAGUCACUAAUUAGUGCACCAAAACCCUUAUAUUUUCGGAAGUUUUUAUUUAAGGUUUUUGACCUCAGAAAAACCUAAUAUAUUUUCAUGAAAUAAUUAAAAAAACAUUAUAUUAUCUAGGAUAUACCGAGCUCGAUGACUUAAAUGAUACAUUUUAAAAAAAAUAUAUAAAGGUUUUAACGUACAAAUAAAUAAUAUAGUGGUUUUCUUUAAGACUUUAAUGAAAAUAUGUUGGAUUUUUAUAAGGUUUUCCCCACUGAUUAUUCCCUCAAUUUUCUUAAUCUUUUUGGCUUCAAACACAAAUAUUGAUCAAUCUAAUUGCAAAAUUCAAAUCUAUAUUCAAAAUUACUUGAAUCCAAAAACACUCUUCAAAUUUAGUCGCAAUAAGAUCUUGAACCGAAAAGAUUGCAUAAGGGGUACUUAUUUUGCAAGUCGGCUACAUCAUACACAAAUAUGAAGGAAUUUUCAUAACUAUUGUCAAGGAUCGACCAAACACAAGUUGAAUGUGUAAGAAACAUAUGGACUGCUUUUUUGACAUAAAAUAAUUGUUUAUUUAAUAAGGUAAAUUAAUUAGAAUGAAUCAGGGUCGGUCCAAACAUAUAUGGGGUCCGGGGCAAAAUGAAAAAAAGGUUCUCUCAAAGACAAAUAUAAUAAAGAUUAAAAAAUAUAUUAUUUACUCUUCAAUAUAGACGUGUUCAAUUAGCAUUAACAAACAAACUAAGUUGUUUAUUUUUUGAGCUAAUUUGAGUUUCAAUAAACUUUAGGCCCUAAAAACCAUUUAGGUAAUAAUUUGUUUUUAUAUAUAUAUAUAUAUAUAUACUACAUAACCCAUAAAUUUUGGCCCCCCCUGGAGUCGUGGGCCCUGGGCGGUCGCCCGAAUUGCCCACCGUCUGGACUGGCCCUGGAAUGAAUAAAAGUUUAAAAAAGUGAUUACAAAAAUCUAAAAUGGUAAAAUAGGCAAGUUAGUUGCUAUUGCUGAUUAAAAAGUACAUUGCUUACUUUUGUAAAAAAUGUUUUGCUAUUUGAUAACCCAUGAAGAUAUUUGUAGAUGUCGAAUUAUAUUGUAAGGUGUCGAAUAUUUUGAAUAGUUUCGAACGUUUAUAAUGUUAUUAUAAUGGCGAUUUUAGUUUCAAGACUUUGAUGUAAUGUCCCUUAUAUUUUUGUAUGCUUUUAUGUUUCCUAUAAAUAGUGAGGUGUACUAGAUAUAGAUAAGAACUUUUCAUGUAAUUGUCUAAAAACUCUAUGUACUCUUGAAAGCAUAAAUUGAGACAAACAUACUUUAUUUAGAUAUUGUGUUCAUCAUUCUUACUUUACUCUGAUCUUGUUACUCAAACUCGAUUUUAGUACAACUACAUUUGGUAUCAGAGCAGGAUUCAUAUAGAACUGUUCUGAUUUUCUGAAUUUUUGCAAAAGUUUUGAGUCUCGUUCUAGAUUUCAAUUUUCCACUCUUUUGCUUCAAAAAAUCAUCUUAGAUCUUCUGUUGUGAGUCGAUUCUGACUUCUAGUUGUUAAAUCAAGUGUUCAAUUGGUGAAUUCUGAGUGAUUUGGCUGUUUGAUCUUAUUGUAAUUUGAGCAUUUCUCAAAAACUUUUCAUACAACAAUGGCGAACUUCAACAUGAAAAUGACGACCUCUUACUCUCAUCUCCUUGGAUCAUCAACGAAAAUUCCAAUGUUGAUUCCGGAGUACUACGAUCAUUGGGCUGGUCGUAUGGAGGAUUACUUAAACGGAAUUAAUGAAGAACUUUGUAAGUGUAUUCUCGGUGAUGUUCGUCCACCUCCUGCUGUUCAGAGUAUUGGAACUUCUUCCAAUAAUCAGAAUGUUAAUGAACAUACCGAAAGGUUAGUGAAAAAUGAGAAGAAGUGUAUGAGAGAACUUAGAGGUGCUCUGCCUUCUGUUGUUUAGAAUUACAUUCGUAGUUGUAAAACUACAAAAUAAAUUUGGAAUACUCUGAAGGAAAAGUAUCAAAGAAGUGAAAAGACAAAAAUCAAUUCAGUGAAACAUUGUCUGGUGGAAUUAAGAAAAUUUAAACAGAAAGAAGGUGAAUCCAUUGAAUUGUACUAUGAUCGUCUGAAUGAGCUCAUAUAAAAAUGCAAUCGAUAUGGGAUCACCAGGUCAACAAUGGAGUUUAAUCUCGCAUUCAUUAUGGGGCUUCGCAAAGAGUGGCAAAAUGUUAGUUUGAUGGUGAAGACUCAACAAAGUUUCGAUUAUUUCUCCUUGAAUGAUCUUUACAAUCUGUUGAAGACUCAUGAAUCCGAAGUAAAUGAAAUAGCUAAAGAAGCGAAGAUCAGUCUGGGUGGUCCGCUUGCUUUGGUUUCGAAAGUUACUGGAAGGGAAGAUGAGAAAGAGUCUACAGAGAAGGAAGAUUCGGAUGAUGAAGGUCUGAUUGUAAACUAUGAUGAUGAGGCUAUUGCAUUUUACUCUAACAAUCGAGCAAAUAAAUUUUGCCAUUUAAUGCAAAGUCGAAAACAAGUAAUUGUGAAGGCAAAUUUUGCUGGAAAAUCUGGGAAUAAUGAGAAGAAGGCUGAGAUAAAGGAAGUUCGUGCUGAGGAAGAGAAGAAAGAGAAAAAGCUAAAAGGAGAUGCUGGAUUCGACUGCCAUUACUGCAAUGGCGCGAAUCAUAUGGCAAAUGACUGCAUGCUUCAAAAGCGUGAUGAGAAGAAGAACAAGGUAAAAGACGAAGCUUAUUAUGUUGAAAGGCUGAAAGAGGUUCAUGCAAAGGCAAAGGGAUUGUCUUUGGUUGCCAAAGGUGUGGAUGAAGGAGAUGGUACAUACCAGAUUUGGUCAUCUGGUUCUGACGACGACGAGAUGCGAAACCCUACACACGAGGCUAUGUUCGCGAAGUAUGAGGAAGAAGAGGGAGAGAAAAUAACUGGGAAGUGCUUUGUUUUGACAUCUUCACACAAAUCACCAAUGACUUCUCAGUUACGUUCUCUUUUACAAUCUUUUAAUAUUCCCUCUAGUGCAUAUGAUUCGAUUCUAUCUGAGUUUGAUUCAACUAUUACUUAAGUUAAUGAUCUACUUAUUUCUGCUAGUUCUGAUGCUAAGAAGUUGAACACACAACUCUUAGAAACUCAGAGGAUGUUGGAUUCGAAGAAAAUGAAAAUAGAAUACCUAGAUAUGCAAAUAACAAAUUUGAUGUGUGAUAGAGAUAAUUUAAGCGCAAAUGUUAAAAUGUUGUUAAAAAAAGAAAUAUAUAUUGUAACUUUGCCAAAAGAUUAUAUGGUAAAUUGAUAGCAUUGCAUCAUUCGUCGGAUAUUAGCAAGGAACAACAUAGGAAACUUUUACCCUUUUUAGCAUUCGAAAAGGAGAAAAUUGACUCUAUUUCCUAUGAUUGUGAAAAAACAAUUGCUGAAUUCGAUAAGGUUCCAGAUAAUAGAUAUGCAUAUGGAAUAGUGAAAAUUGAUGAAUUUCGGAAUGCUAAUGAAUCAUUUGAUAUUGUUAAUGAAACCUUGACCAAAGACGAACAAAUUAAGAUUUUGAAAAGAACUGAGAAUUCGAAAACUAACCCUCAAAAUAGUUUUGUUGAUAUCGAAGAUGAUUAUGAUGAUAUUAGUGAAAUUGAAGAGGAGGAAGUUAUUGAUUGUUCUCAGUUGUCUGUCAUUAAUGUCACUUCAAUGGCUAAAGGAAAAGAAAAAUGUAAUGAAUCUACGUUUAAAGUUGACACUACUCUACCCUCAAUUUCAAAAGUUCAUGAUCUUGACCAUGUGACUAUCGAAGAUUGUCAAACAGACAGUGAAGAUGACAAUGAAAAAGUUACGAAAGAAACAACAAUACCAAGGGUUGUAGUUGAUUAGGUUUUUGACAAAACUGAGAAAUUCGACACAAUUAUGAAGGAAAAAGGUUCUUAUUAUCUUGAGACAAACACUGUUGUGUAUCCGAAUUUCAAAUGCACAGAUGAAGUUAUUUUUCCAAAUAAGGCUUUUGUGACAACAGAGAAUUAUGAUAAAAUUAAACCUGAGUUUAAUAAAAUGAUUGAAGAGGAUAACAAGAAGUCAUCAAAAGAAGGAUUUUUCUCAAACCAAAGUACCGUCAAAAACAAUCUCACACAUAAUUCAUAUACUUUUCAAAGACAAAAACCAAAACGAGUUUCGGUUGAAAAAUCAAAAGAUAUUUCAAAACAAGAUGAUAAUGUUUCACAACAUGUCAAAAUUAAUUCUCAAGAGUUUAAGGAACAAAUGGAUAAAAUUUUGAAAGAAAGUGGUGUUUCAAAUAGACAAGCAAGAAAAAAAGUUUUUUGGCAAACAAUAGAAUCUUGCAAGAAAUCGAAUGAUUUGCUAAAUAAAACAUCUGAACCGAAAAAGUCUAAAUCGAUUCAGACUUCUUUUCAAAAGAUAGUUGAAAAUAAGAAAAAUCCCGCUCUAACUCGAAAAGAUAUGUCUCAACAAAAACCACAAAAUGAUUUUUCAAAGACUAAAACUCAAGAGUUAAAAUCAAAUUUUCAAACAUCAAAUACAAACAAGUUUUCAAAUCAUCAGUCAUCAACGAAUUUCCAUUCAAAUCAACAAACAAAGUUUUCAUAAAAUCAUUUUUCAUGAAAAAACCGAUUUUUGAAUAAAACAAUGGAUGUUCAAAUCAUUUUUCUUCUCAGACGGAACAAUUGUUUUCAACUCAAAAGUUCGAUAAAUUUCAAUCUAAAAGGACUGUGACGUUUAAACCAACACAACCACAUUUUCCCAAUCCUCCUACGAAACAUGUUACCAAAGUUUUGUAUGCCAAAAGUACGUCAGAUGUGAAAAACAUUAACCAUUGGCUCGAAGGAAAAGGCAAAUCAUUUCAGUCAUCAAAGUUUUCUCAACAACAAAUCAAGGAUGCGUAUGAACAGUAUUUGAAUGAAUCUUCAAAUGGAAGUUCUUCAUCCAAGGAAUCGAAUCCUUCUGUCAAACAAUGGAGAGCCAUUCCGAAAGAAAAGGUUACUAAGAAACGAAUUGAGAAGCAAAAGGAGAAAAUCGGUGAAAAUUCUAAACCUGAGAAUACUUACUUUUCUGUGCCUUUAACCAACGAAGUUGACGUAAUUGAUAGUCUCAAAUCUAAAGUUUGUAAUUGGAUUUUAGGAACUUCUUUUUACAAUGUUUUUUAGUCUAAUAACCAAUGACCCAAACAGCCUUGGGGACCUAAAUUCUUUCACUGAUUGCAGGUUUUGUGUGACGAGCAAUAUGAUGACAAAUGGUAUAUUGAUAGUGGUUGCUCUCUUCACAUGACUGGGAAGAAGGAAAACUUUUGUGAUUAUUGAAGUUUAGAUAAUUCUGGAGUGGUGAAGUUUGGUAACAAUAAAAAAUGUCAAGUCAAAGGAUAUGGAAAAGUUACAAAUGAGAAAUUCACAGUGAACAGAGUUUCUUAUGUCGAAGGUCUUCAAAAUAACUUGAUCAAUGUUUCGCAACUUGUUGUGGGCAUUGGAAAUCAAGUGCUGUUUAAUGAAUAAGGAAGUGUGAUUUCGAACAUCGGCAUAAAGGAAGUUUUGCUUAAGUAAAAACGAAAAGGCAAUAUGUUUACUCUCGACAUCAAACCAAUUGUUGGGAUUCCCUCAGUAUGCUUACUUUCAAAAGCUUCAUCUGAUGUUAGCUGGCUCUGGCAUCGAAGACUUUCUCAUUUAAAUUUUCAAAAUUUAAAUAAAUUGGUGGUAAAUGAUCUUGUUAGAGGUUUACCAGUAAUAAAAUUUGAUAACAAUACUUUAUGUGCAGUUUGCGAACAAUGAAAGCAGCACAGACAAGGUCAUCUAAUUGUCAUUGAUUCAAAGAUUGUUGAACCAUUGGAACUUCUUCACAUUGAUCUUUGUGGACCCUCGACUGUUGAGACUCUUAACAAGAAGAGAUACAUAUUGGUCAUUAUGGAUGACUUUUCAAGGUUUACUUGGGCAUAUUUUCUUAGACUGAAAUCUGAAACUACUCAAGCAAUGAUCGACUUCAUCAAGCAAAUUGAACUAAGUUUGAAGACAAAGGUUCAAAAGAUCAAGAGUGACAACGACUCCGAAUUUAAGAACAAUGUUCUUGAUUCAUUUUUAACUGAAAAAGGAAUUUCGCAUAAUUUCUCUUCACCUUACACUCCUCAACAAAAUGGUGUUGUAGAAAGGAGAAAUCGUUCACUUUGAGAAUCUGCAAGAACAAUGAUCACAUAUGUGGAUCCUCCUCAAUAUCUAUGGGCCGAAGCAGUUUCCACUGCAUGUUUUACUCAAAAUCGAUCUUUUAUUCAUCGUCGUUUUAACACCACUCGUUAUGAAAUUACCAACAAUCGAAAACCAAAUGUUAAAUUUUUACAUGUUUUUGGUUGCAUGUUCUUCUCAAGGAUAAUCUUUCAAAAUUCCAUUCAAAAGCUGAAGAAGGGAUAUUCUUGGGAUAUUCACAUAAUUCGGUUGCUUAUAGGGUGUUAAACAAAAGAACAAGGAAAACAGAUGUGACAACCCAAAAUUUCUAUCUUGUACAAGCCAUUCAAUUCAAUCAAAGUCAGACUCGAAUCUGCUAUCUUUUAGCAUUGAUUAGGGUUUGUUUGAGUGUUCUAAGCCUAGUACAAUCAAGGUUUGGGUUUAGGGAUGAGUCAUCUUAAGUCAUGGUGUUGCAUUCGAGUCAAACACUCCUUCAAGAGGAGUUUACGGCCGUACUGGCCGUGAACUCAUGCCCAUAUAUAAUGCAACCCUUCAUUUUUCCUCACUUUUCACUCUUCCAAGUCAAGAAAGUCAAUUCUCUCUCAACUAUCAUCAAACUUUUCACCUUUAUCUUCAAAUAUGUAAUGUAAGUACUCCUUCCAUUGAUUAUUUGAUACAUUGCUUUAUCUAGUGAAGAUCAAUGUUUUCAUCCAUGAAAUUUCUCUUUUGGAUAGAUCUUCAAGUCUUCUUCGAUUUCACCAAGAACACCUACUAGUUCUUGGGUGGUGAACUCCUUAGAAGCCUUCAAAAGUGUGAUUAUCUUUUCUAUCUUCUAGUUGAGCUUAAGAAACACUUGAUUCCUAGCCCUAAAUCAUCAUCAAAUGCAUGAACACCAAGGGUGUACGGCGGUACACUCAUCAUAUGGUCGUAAACCCUUGUUUAGUGCAUGUUUAGGCCUCAAACACACCUCAUAUCCCAACAUAGGAUCAUGAACACUUAGUGGAUGCUAGUUAGAGCCAUAAAACACCUCUUUUGCAAGUUCUUCCAUGAGUGUACGGCCGUACACUCUAUGACCGUACACUCCAUGGCCGUACAUACUUGGACCGUACACAUCUUGGUCGUACACACCAUUGUGUGGCCAUAAACGCCUUUGAUGCAAUCAUAUGUGAUUGUAACACUUCAAUAUAAGUGUUUCCUAGUCCCUAAGGUGGUUUCCUUGCAUGAUUAGUUGCUUAUACACUAAUUAUAUACAUAUAUGUGUCAUUAUAUGCUUAAUGGGAUCCGUUUGUGCUCAAGACUUCACUUGACACUCAACUUCCUAUAUCGAUCUUACAUUCGUAUCACUCAAUACAAGUGAGUUCAUACCCCUUAAUCUAUCUUUUAAAUGAUUUUAAAUACUUUUAUGGGGGGAAUACAAGUUGAAAACAUUAUAGUUAUUAUAUUAAUCACAUGUGAUCAAUAGCUAUCAAACAAGUGGAUUUCCUUAUACUUCAAACAGUUUAUCAAACAAACUAUUUUAAAACAUUUUAUAAAAUUUACUUCAAGUCAUCUAUAAUCAUUCAAAUGGUUAAAAUUCCUUUUUAUGUUAAACACUUUUAUAUGCUAAACUCUUUAUCAAACUCUUUUUAAACUUAUAUAUUGUCAAAAUCAUAUCUAUAUAGAUAUAGUUAUAUAAGUAAGGUUGAAAGGGCUUAGGACUGAUAACUCACUUUAUUUCUUGUUCCUUGUUUGGUUGCGAACUUAGGGUAUCCGAUUGUUUGUCCGAGUGUCGUUUGAAUCUUAGUUAUAUAUUAUGCAUAUGUAUAUAGAUAUAAAAGCUUUUACCUCAGUUCAACAUCUUUAGGUAGCAAAGGUGUACAAACAUACAAAAUCAUUCAAACAACAUUACUAGUAAACUAUAAUAGGUAUAGUUUAGAGGUUUACUACUCACUGUUUCUAGAUUCACACAUGAGUCAGUUCAAACAUACUAUAUCGAGAAACAGAAAGAACAUACUAUAAUGAGAAACAGCGAGGAACAUAUUAUACACUAUACAAAGAGAGCAUAUUAUACACUAUACAAAUAGAACACACAAUACACUAGAACAAAUAGUGCAUACUAUAUAUAUACAAGAAUACUAUAACACUAAUGUGAGCCACUACUUCAUGGCAUGGCAUCAUACUGCCGUGUCAUGUUUUGUAGCCAGAGUCUCCUAGAGGGAGAGCGUGAGUUUGUGUAUAGAUCUAUACGGGACUGACCGUCCUACACCUUGCUGCUAGCUACAGUGGGACCUGCAGGUCUACGGGUGAAGAAUGUCAUACCAUAUCAACGUCUUUGAUCGUCGUGUUUUACUAGUCAAUCGAGUAUGGUUACAACUACAUAACAUUUUACCUUAAUUAACAAACUGGUUUAAGGUAGUUAGUACAACAUUAGUUACUAUAUACAACACUACAUUACAUCAUUAUUUUUCCAUUACAUUCACUUUGUGAUCUUCUCACAUAAACGGGAAAUGUAAACUAUCUUUUGGUAAUGAUAGUCAUACUUGGGAAAAACACACACUAUUACAAACGAACAACAUACAUAAUAUUCAGGUCUUGGUAGAAGACUACAUUUUUAGUAGAAAAUAUAGGAUUUUAUAGGAGAUACAAACAUUUAAUACAAACACUUACAAACAUUUUCAAACGCUUUCAUCAAACUUAUACAUCAAAUGACACUUAAAUACUUAUGAACUCACCAACUUAAAUGUUGAUCAACUCUUUCAAAAUAACUUGUAUUCUUAGGUCACCAGUAGACAGGUACCGAUGGCCAGAUUUUGAGAAUACGGAGCACUUUCAAGACUCGUCUUUAUUUUGAUUAUUCAUUUUUGGUGUCUUAUUAUUAUUAUUGCACAGAACACACUUGUAUUGAAUUAUACUAUUAAUGCAAUGGAUGGUGUUGUUGCUUGUUUACUAUUAUGCAUUGUUAUGAUACUGUACAUGACGUCCUCCACCCCAGAACGUUUCUGCCAUUCCGGUUUUCGGACGUGACAAUAGAAGAAACAUUUAAUAUCACUUUUGAUGAUUAUUAUGUUAAAAAAGUUGAAAAGACCUUUAAACAACAACCAAUAAUGAAUGAAUCAAAUAAUGAAUCUCAAAAUAUGAAUUCGUUUGAUUUUGAUUAUGAUUUGAUUUUUGGGGUUCCAGAUCGUGUUAUUGAUGCAGAAGUAAAUGUUGAUGACAAUAGAGUACCUGAAGCGUCAAAACAUUCUGAUGAGUCCACUCUUACACAUGAUAACAAUGAUUCACUUUCAUCAACAUAUUCUUCCAAUGUUAACGAAAGUCUGCCAGUUGUGUCGAAUAAUCAAGUGGAGGGGGAGCACUUGAAUUCGUCUGCUCAAGUUGAGGGGGAGCAUACUUUCGAGGGGGAAAGAGACAAAAUGAAUGUUGAUGUCAAGGGGGAGCAUCCUGAUAGAAAUCCAAUUAUUGUGGGGGAUCAAGUUGGAAAUAAUACUAAUGUUUCGAAUGAUCAAAGUGAUGAAUUUCAUGAUAUUAAUGAUAAUUUGUCUAAUGAAAGUGAUGGAUCUGAAACUAAAGAAAUUUUCGAAGAUGCACCUUUGGACUUUGAUCCAGCAUAUCCUCCGAUGGAUAGAUGGACUCGAAGUCAUCCAAAGGAACAAGUUCUUGGUGAUCCUCAUGAUGGAGUGUUAACAUGAGCUCAACUUCGCACAAAGAAUGAGGUACUUAAUGUACACCAGGAAUUUUGCAUGUUCAAUGUUUUUAUUUCAAAAAUUAAACAUAAAUCAGUCAAGGCCACUAUGGAACAUCCUGAUUGGGUUGAGUUUAUGCAAUCUGAGCUUGCUGAAUUCGAAAGAAACAAGGUCUAGAGAUUAGUUCCCAAACCAAACGAUGUUUCAGUUGUGGGCUUAAAAUUGAUAUUUAAAAAUAAAACUGAUAAAGAUGGUAAUGUUGUUUGAAACAAAGCUAGGCUUGUAUUUAAAGGUUAUUCGCAACAAGAAUGUAUAGACUAUGAGAGAACCUUUGCCCUUGUCGCAAGACUCUAGAUAGUUCGAAUAUUUUUAGCCUAUGCAACGCACAAGGAUUUUGAUGUCUACUAGAUGGAUGUUAAAUGUGUGUUUCUUAAUGGUGAACUCGAAGAAACGGUUUACGUUGAACAACCCCCAGGUUUUAUUAACGAAGAAUUCCCUGAUCAUUGCUAUAUUUUAGAUAAAGCUAUUUAUGGGUUAAAACAAGCACCCAGAGCUUGGUAUGCAACUCUUACCAAUUUCUUAAAGCAAUCGAAAUUUAAACAAGGAUCAGUUGAUCCCACUCUCUUUCAAAAGAAAGUUGGGGUUCAUCUCAUGCUUGUUCAAAUUUAUGUCGAUGAUAUUAUUUUUGGAUCUACUGACCCUGCUUUGUCAAGAGAAUUCAAAAUUUUAAUGAAAAGCAAAUUUGAGAUGAGCAUGAUGGGGAAGAUAAACAAUUUUAUGGGAUUAGACAUUCGUCAAAGCAGAGAAGGAAUAUUUAUCAACCAAGAGAAGUAGACAAGAAAUCUACUUGAAAAGUUCGGAAUGACAAAUAGCACAAAGCUGAGAGUACCAAUGGCUGUUGGAACAAGGAUUAGUUCUUCAUCGGAUAAAUCAGUUGUGGAUCUCACACUGUAUUGAAGCAUGAUAGAUUCAUUACUUUAACUCACGACAAGUCGACCUGAUCUUAUGUUUUCGGUGUGCAAUUGUGCUAGGCACCAAUCAAAUCCCAGGGAAUCUCAUCUAACUCUAGUCAAGAAUAUAUUUAGAUAUCUCAAAGGAACAACUUCGUUAGGAUUGUGGUAUCCUUCGAAGACAUGCUUUUUCAUUUAAGCAUUUUCAGAUGAUAAUUUAGGUGGUUGUAAUCUUGAUCGCAAAAGCACAAGUUGCAGAUGUCAACUGUUUGGUGGGAAGCUAGUAAGUUGGCAAUUAAAAAAGCAAACAUGUGCUUCGAUUUCAACAACAGAAGCUGAAUAUGUUGCUCUGCUGCUUGUACUUCUCAAAUCAUAUGGAUGUAAAGUCAACUGUAUGAUUAUGCAAUCAACAUGAAGAAAAUUCUGUUGUAUUGUGAUUCACAAAGUGUCAUACAUAUUUGUCAUAAUCCUGUGCAACAUUCGAAAACAAAGCACAUAGCUCUUCGUUAUCACUUUAUUAAGGAUCACGUGGAAGAAGGCAAUAUUGAAGUUCAUUUUGUAAAGACAACUGAUCAGCUUGCUGAUAUCUUUACAAAACCAUUGGGUGAAAAAUCUUUCAUAAGAAUUAUGAAUGGUUUAGGAAUGAUUGAUGUGAAUUCAGUUUCAGGACUGAUUUCGUUAGAUUGACAAGCCAAAGUGUUGGAAAAAUGCCGAUUCAACGGUUACUGUUCAUUAUUCAGCGGUCACUGUUCAUAUUCAACGGUUUGACAUGCUUCGCUUUCAACAUCAUGCACAAUGGUUUGACAAAAUCUUCGUUACUUUUGUUAUAUUUCAAAUUUUCGCUAAUCAGGUACAUAUUUUUUAUUUGCUAUUUUGUUUCAAAAAUCAAAAACAACAAAAAGAUUUUCAUUUUUUUUCUUUUUCAAAAUUCAAAAAUAUCAAAAAGAUUUUCUUAUUUUUGUUCUUUUCUUUCAAAAAUCAAAAAUACAAAAGUCUUUUUUUUGUUGUUGUUUUGCUAAUCUUUUCCUGUGUAGCUUUUAGCGAAGUUUUUUGUUGGUUCAUGCUUGCUGCUUGUGGGAAAGGUAUAUAUUCCAAACUAUGUACUAAUUAAGAUGUCCUAGAAGCAUGAUGUAGUAUGUCGACCCAAACCUCCAUGACUCAAUGUGUUUUCGAAAGCCUUAAUGGACUUUUCAUCACGAAAAUUCCUUCCCAAUUAGGCAGUAUUCACAUUAGUCUCUAAGCUACCUUACUCUUUUCAUAUUAGUUAGGAGUUAAUUGUUUGGUUCGAUCAUAGUAGAGGUACUUUCAAUACUUGAACCAAUCUUUUUCAUCCUAAAGUUCUUUCACGAUCACACACAAAGACACAUACCCAAGACAUCUCUGGUAAAAAACAAUCAGGUUAUAGGUAUGUCAACAUUCUGUGUUUAUGAUCUGGAUUCAUGAGACCGUGAUGAAAGUGAAACCCAACUUUUCGAAACUUUAAAGGAAUUGACGGGGAUUUUGUUCCAGAUUUUAAUGAAACUUUUGUUUCAGUACCAUUUUUCGAUACUUCAAAUCAUAUUCUUUCUUUUUGCAUGGUCUUAAUAAAAUGUUAGAAACCCACGACAUUUUUAACACAACAAGAUCCAGGAAUAAUUUUGUUUUAUGGAAUAUGAUUUCAGUGUGAGUAUUAAUAUGAUUCUUUGUUUAAAUUUUUCCAAAACAUACUAGUCCCUGACUACACUAGUCACACAGGUAAUUUCAGUUAUAAUUUUUCACACUUAUGUUUAGUUGUGAUAUGUAAUGAAAUUCAUAGCUACCCAUGAAUCCUUAUAAAAAGUUGCCCUUCGAUACUUCUCAAUAAGUAUUCGAUUGUAAUUCACGGGAACCACACAAGCUGUUAGCCAUCUCUCUUGAUGAAUAACGAAGUGAUAUUUGCCUGGGAUCUAACUGCAUUUGUGUCGAAAUAUUUUUUUGACAUCAUAGAACGAAAAUUUUCUAAUUUUGUUUCUUAUCUUUUUCUUUGGCACACAUUGCACUCACGAAAUCCUUGAGGUUCUGAGUAAUACCAACUCAGGUUGAUGAUUUCGAAAAAUUUUGGCACAUGAUUUCGCUUUUCAAUCCAAAAGUGAAAGAGCCCAAAUUCCAUACCAAAGGUUUCAGACGGUUCUUAUCCACUUGGUACUAUCAAACAGACUGAUGGAUAUCACGUUCUGGUUACUAUGCGGUUUUCAAGGAAAAAGUGAUCAUCACUUUUUCAGACGUGGCUAUUUUUACGGAUUUAGCUCUGCUUUUCUAGGUGACACGUGGCUUAUCAUUUAAUGCGCAAACCGUUUGGAAUUCAAAAUUUGUGUACGUAUAAAAAGGGGGUUGGGGAUUCUAUUCCAACUUUAUGCACACUAAAUCUUCUCAAAUGAUUUGUGUUCUUUUAUCUCUGCAAUUCUUCAAGUUCUUCAAAACCCUAACAAUGGCGGCCAAGUAAUCACAAACCACUAAAGAUGUUUCAUCCCAACCAAUCAUGAAGAUCCAGAGCACUAACUACCAAGUUCUUGGAGAUCUCGAUGCUUAUCCAAAAGGUUUACAGAUGCUCAUCGUUGCUCUUCAGAAUUUCGUGUUGUCAAUUGCAAUGUUCAAUUCGUUCUCAGUACCACUUUCAUGGUUGUCACUUAUUGGUUCAACGGCUACUUACAGCAAGACGAAGAAGAUCGUGACUUUUCAAUUGGUGAAUGACAAGAAAUUCAAGUUAUCCAAGAAACUCUUUGCUUAAAUUCUGAAAAUCCCAAAUUAUGAACCUUUCUACAAGGUCACGAAUGAGCAAAUCAUUCAUAUGUUCAAUGAGAUGGGUUACCAGCCUAUUCUUACCAAAGUCAGUGAUUUUAAGAAAUCUAGAUUGCCAUGUAUCUGGAACUUCUUGUUUGGAAUAUACCUUCGUUGUCUGACUGCUCGAAGUGUGGGGUUGGAUAAAGCUCGUUUGGAAGUGUAUGCAAUGGUAGGAGGGAUCUACUAUGAUUUACAGGGGGACUAUGCAACUCAAAUUUGGAAUGAGUUUGUUAAGAGUAUUGGAAAUACGAAUGUUGUAGAUGGGAUUUCUUGUGCUAGAUACUGGAGUUUGAUUUUACAGUUUGUUUAUGAGAAGGAAGGGAUUAUGUUUCCUGAAGGCGAAGAAACUGCAUAAUUCUCAACUUAUCAUUAUCCCAAAACCGUCGAAGACAGUCCAAAUGUGUUUCCUUCCAUUGCUCGUAUCCCAGAUGCGAUGCUUAGUAAAGUUGAUCCAGGAAAUUCGAUUUUGGUAGCCUAUUUGUAGACUAUAAAUCCAUCCAUUCAUAUUGGAGUGUUUUUGAAAAAGUCUGAAGAGGGUCCUUCAAAGAAACGUAGAUGAUCAACCUAGUCCUGUGAAUCCAAGUCCUUCGAAAGCAAGUCCAGUACCUGUUGAAAAAUUGGCUACGUCUCUAAAGAAAGUUGUUAAAGGAGAAAAGCCUUUGAAGAAAAAUCCCAAGCUUAUUGUUGAAGGAACUGCCAAUCCUUCGAAGGAGGUGGUUCCUACGAAGUUAGGUGUCUUAAAAAGAUUGAAGAAAAUGGAUCAUAAACCACGCCAUUCACCUGAAAGAUCAUCCAGUUCGGGAUCAGGAUCAGGAGAGGGUGAUCUGGGUGGAUCGGUACCACCCGAGGUCAUUGGUUAGAUGAGUACGGACGAGUUGGAUGCCAGGAUUUGUGAUAUCCUGCAUGAUGAGGUUGCUGCUAUGUUUCGGGCUGAGUUGCCAGAGAUGUUUGGGUCGAUCAAGACCGCCAUGAUUGAGUACUUUGAUGAGCGCUAUGCAGCUCUUGUGGAGGCGGCUGUCGCGGCAGCUACAACGGCUGUAAUAGCGGCAGGGGGAGGAACCGGCCGAGGUUUUCAGUAUUGGGACUUCGAUAAUACAAAGCCCUCUACUUUCGAUGGAGUUCAGGAUCCGAUCGUUGCUAUCAGAUGGUUGUCAGAUGUGGAAGGCUGUUUCUUCACGUGUUCAUGCCCUGCUGAUCAGAGGGUGAGGUGUGCUCUGAACAUUUUGAGGCUCGGGGAAAAAGAUUGGUGGAGGUUGACUACGGGAUCUUACUCUGAUGCACAGCAGGCUGCAAUUUCUUGGGAUCAGUUCCGGAAGAUGUUCAACACUCGUUAUGUUCCACGGGUUGAGAGAGAGAGAGAGGUUGGCUCAGGAGUUCUUGGAGCUGAAGCAUGAUUCAGAGUCGUUGACGGAGAUCACCAGGAUGUUCACUGAGAGGGCGAUGUUUUGCCCGGAGUUUACUUCGGAGCAGGCUCAUAUGACCUGAUAUCUGAGUAUGCUCAAGAGGGACAUCAAGCGGUUUGUGUCCAUGCAGAGGUGUGAUACCUUGUUAGAGCUGCAGGAGGCCGACAGGCGGCGGGAGUUAGAGAUGGAGUUGCAGUUACGAGAGCAGAGGCAGGCCCUGGUGCAGUCGCAGUCGGCGGCGAAACGGUCUANCCAAACCGUUGACUCUAGGGUUGGAGGUCAGAGCAGCCGCACUUGUGAGAAGUGUGGGAAGGGUGAUGCCGGAGUUUGUAGGUCCGGUGGUGCAUGUCGCAAGUGUGGGAAAAGGGGCAUUAUGCGAGGGAUUGUCGUCCGUCGGUCCCGGCUCAGGAUAUGAGGAUCUGUUAUCAUUGUCAUUAGGUUGGACACUUGAGGGUCAACUGUCCGCAGCUUGUUGCAAGACCGGUGUAGGCUCCAACACCGGCCACUUUGAGGAUUACAGGUGGAGGUCAGGGUGGAGUGGAGCCUCCGAGGGCUAAGGGACGCGUUUUCCAGCUUACAUCAUAGGAGGUCAUGGCCGAGCUGGAUGCAGCUACGGGUAUGUUUUCAUUUUUAUAUCUUGUCAUUUGCUGAUUAUGUGGUAUUGUAAAUCUGUUCGCCUUUUCGCAUGAUUCAUAGUAUGAUUGGGAAUCUUAGUAGUUAGGGGUUGUAGUUGGUUAGUGUCUAGGAGGAUUCUUCGUCGAAAGAUAAGGUAUAUGAUCUCGUUGCUUGGAAUCGCAAUUGCGUUGCGAGAAGUGUUCGGUUGAGAUUCGAACUUCCUUGGAGUUCUGGAUGUGCGAUGUCGGGAGAGUGUUCUAUGGAGAUUUCUCACUCCGGAGGGAUUUAGUUCCGGGAGAAGAGGGGGAACUUUAUCAAGUAAGGUUGAUCGUGUUAUGCCGGUUUGUCAGCGGAAGUUAGUAGUGGGUAAACUAAGUGGGGAGAAUUGGAAAAUUCUCUGGUGAAACAACAAGCAUCCAGGGUUGGUUAGCUGUUUGGAUUUAUUAGUGUUGUUAGCCGAGAGUGUGGCAUGAUUGGAGAAAGUGAUAGUCAAGUGGGCCGGGAACAGACCAUGGUUUCAGAAAAGGUAGUUGGUCGAUGUGAGGCCUGGGUUUAGGCCAUGGAAAAGAUUCCGGGAACGGAACAGGAGUUCGGAACCCCAAGAGGGCUAGAACAGACUGCAUAGGAGAGAUUCCCGGGAAGAAUGGUUCAGGGCGAUGUACGACAGUUUCGAGCGGCCCGGAUAGACUGAAGGCCGGAAGGCGUAGCAGUUAGGCCGAAGGCUCGAGGAACGGUCCAAACGGGAUGAAGGCCCAGGAGGGCGGUCCAGACAUGCUGAAGGUUCUUAGAGUGGUCUAGAUAGGCUGAAGGCCUGGAAAGGCGGUCCAGUCAUGCUGAAGACUCUGUAUGUGUUAGUGGAUCUAUAUGCAGAGAAUGGGUGAUUAUGUCGCCAUGAAAUGAUAAUUGAUAUGGUCUGGCCCCAAGUAUUGAUCAUGAUGAUGGAGUUGGCUGCAGGACGUGCGUUGGCCUGGUUAGCUAUGAGAUCGGACUCAGAGUAUAUGGGAGUUCGAGAAUGGCAGCUGCUCUACAUGGAUAGUGUAGAGUCGAGUUUGGCUUAGUGGCACUUAUAGGUGCGGUAAGGGUUAUUCAGUAGACUUCCUGGAAAGGAACGGUAUGUAGCUCUGGAAGGAGUGUGGGUCCUCCGAAAAGGAGGCAGUGGAGUAAAUGGAUGAUCGAAGUGCUUCAGUUAUUGGUAGUAAGCACUAGGAUUGUAUCAGAUAUAUGGAAGCAUAUACGGGUUGGCUGCUCGUUGAGAUGGUGGUAAUGUUGAAUGAUGCGCAGGCAUGUUUUCAGUCUCCUUGGAAGAGAAGGAGGAUAGUGGUUCCAGAUUGGGGAUUUGGAUAGAGGAAGAUGAGACAACAGGUUAAUAGACUCGGGAGUAGUCUAGACCGAUGCUGAGGACUGUAUAAGGAUAUAACAGUCAGAGGUCAAGGACCUAGAGAUCCUGCUAGGGAAGUGUGAGUGGGUUGCACUCCGUUGUAUCGAACCAAAGGGUUCGAGGGUGACGCAAGGAUAGGGUCCUUGGUUCUGAGUAUGGUCGUGGUCAUGAACUCUGGAUGUAGUGGUGUUCCAUCCUAGGGACGGCUGGACCAUCAUACGCGUGCCUGGUUUUCCAGCCCGAGGCUGUUUGGGCCAGGUACGAUGCGUAUGAACAUUAUAGCUGGGUGUUCAGGAGGGUUGCUCGGAAGCUGUGAAUUAUUUCAUCGUGUCAGUGCGGUAAGGGAUUUGAUCCAGGGAGGAAAUGGGAUGAGUUUCCAUCGGUGCAAGUUGAUAAAGGUAGCGCCAGUUGGGCGAAAGAUAGUGAGCUAAUACUGGGUCAAGACCCGGUGGUUUAGAAUGGUAUCCAGUUUUCGCAGGUGGCGAAUGAAUGCGUAAGACGGAAGUAAGGUAGUGUCUUCUGGUGACACUUAGUUGAUGAGUGUUAUUAUCAGAGAAAGGAAGCCGGUGGUCGAUUUGAAGCGGUUAUCAGGACCCUGCAAGGGAAGAGAUGGAUUUUAGGGAUUCGAUAGCAGUGUUUGAAGGAAUUUGGGUCGGUUGAGAUCAGUGGAUGCAUUGUGGCAGUAUCAUCCGGAAGUUAGUGUUGUCGCAGGCUUCGAGGGCGAAGCCUAAUUUAAGUGGGGAAGAAUUGUAACAUCCCGAAUUUCAGAAGUAUGGCUUAAGGGUUUAAAGUGUAAUUUCGACGAAGGGACUCGAUGAGUAGGUACGCUUACUCGCCGAGUCGAAGCGGGUUUGGGUCGCGAAGUAAGUGACCAACUCGCCGAGUCGGAAGCUGGAUUCGAUGAGUUGGUGCUGGAAUGAGAAAACCCUAAUCUUAGGGUUUACACCCAAUUUAAAGGACUUUAUGUCCUUCUCCCAGCCUCCUAAUCCCCCUGAGAGUUCCAGAAACCAUAAUCUUCAUGUGAGACUUCAUUAUUGAGGAGUUUGGAGCUUGGAAGAGGAAAUGGUGGAAAGAGCUUGAGAAAUUAAAGGCUUGCUGCAAAGGAGUGGUGUAGAUCCGAGAUCUACUUCAGUUGGAGCAUAUAUUGGAGGUAAUAAUAUGUUGCUUGGGCUCUUUUGUAUCUAGAUCUAUUAUCAUUUGAGUUUUGGGGCAUUUUUGGUAUGAUUGAGAGCUAUUUCGAGUUAGAGGCUUAGAUCUAAAGUUGCUACUUUAGAUCUAGGCUUGUGAUACUCCAAAAUGUCAUAAAGCUUCUGUCUUAGAGUUAUUGGUGAAGCUCCUUUUUCUAAAACCCAAUCCCUAGUGUGUUUUGGGCCUAUAUCUCCUUGGUUUCACAUAAAGUUUGCAACUUUAUGUGAGGGUUAGAUUGUAGAAGGGUGGAUCUAUGGAUUGGAGCCCAUGCAUGGCUCGAAAAGCCUCUAAAUGGAUUGAGAACUGGAGAGACUUGGUGAGUCACAUGGGUGUACUCGACGAGUUGCAUGAACAUGUGCAUGGACUCGGUGAGUUUGAAGAACAACUCGGCGAGUCUGUUGAAGAUUGCCUUGGACUCGGCGAGUCUGUUCUUGGACUCGGCGAGUCUGGUCGUAGAACCCAAUCUCUUUUGGGUUAAAGCUUUGGGUUAGUGAGUCGGUUGGCGACUUGGUGAGUUGGGCAGGAUGGGACUAAGAGAUCGUUGGACUCGGCGAGUUAAGUUGUGAUAUGAGAGUUUUCUGGGUGUGGGAACUCGGCGAGUCGACGGGUUGACUCGGCGAGUAAAAGUCAACCAGGAAGGUUGACUUUGUCUGAGGACUUUGACUUUGACCAAGAGUUGACCAGUUUGACUUCCAAGGGUAUUUUGGUAAUUAUGGUAUUUAUGGAAUUGGUUCUUUGGUAGUGUUUUGUGGCGAAGUUCGUGUCGGUGGUCGGAGCAGCUUGGUCUUAUCUCUUCAGUCGACAAUUGCAGGUGAGUUAUCCUCACUAUAUCGAUAGGGUCUACGGCACCAAGGCCGACCCUUUAUCGGAUGGAAAUCCAGCUAUUGUUUGUUAUGUUAUUGCUUUGCUAGAUCUGCAUCCUGGUAUUUAGGAUGGUGUUAUGUUAGUGACCUGGUUAAGGUCGGUACCCGGUAUAUAGGGUAAUGUUAUGUUAGUGACUUGGUUAAGGUCGGUACCCGGUACUUAGGGUAAUGUUAUGUUAGUGACCUGGUUAAGGUCGAUGCCCGGUACAUAGGGUAAUGUCAUGCUAGUGACCGGUUAGGUCGAAAUCCUGGUUAGGAUGUUGAUAUGCUAUGUGAUAUGUUAGACUGUUUGUCCGGUUAAGGAUUUGUUAUGUGAUUAAUUGUUUUAUGUGCACAUGGUUGUUUGAUGGGGGCUGGGUUGAGGCGGGUCCUGGUUUGUACUGUAGGCCAACAUACCCAGGGAGGAUCGGAUAAUCAGAAGGCCCAGCGAGCGGUGUGGAUAGGCUGAAGGCCCCAAGAGGGCGGACCAGACGUGCCAAGGCUCAAAGAGUGGACCAGGCCGACUUAAGACCCGGUGUGAGCGGACCGGUCAUACUAUAGACUCGACGUACAUGACUAGACUCGGAGGGUGGACUAGGUGGACUGAAUGCCCGGUGUGGGCGGACCAAUCACACUGUAGACCCGAUGUGCAUGGCUAUUUUGUAUUGUGAUAUGUUAUGAGUAUGGUUAUAUGUGGUUGGUAUUUUAGGGGUAACUCACUAAGCUUUCGGGCUUACAGUUCAGUGUUUUGUUUCAAGUACUUCAGGAGAUCGUGGCAAGGCGAAGGCGUGAUCAUACCGCUCCUCAUGAUUUAUGAUUUAUGUGAUAUGGUUCUAGGGAAAUACUCUGAUGUUUAAACUAUUUUGAAAACAAAUGUAUGAAUUUAUGGUUUUUGAAUGAAUUAAAAUGUUUAAUUUAGCUCAAAUUUUAUGGGUGUUAUAAGUUGGUAUCAAAGCCUUGGUUUUAGUGAAUUGGAGGAACAUUCGUGUGAAUCCAGUCUCAAAUCAAGGAGGGAUUUUCAAAAUGGUUUUUCAAAAGGUUUUCGAAGUAAGUAAAGGAUGAUGCAGAGGGUACAAUCAGCCAAAGCCAGUAAGUAGACCCCAAAAUACCACACGAGUUAUUUGAUCAUGAGAUGUGUUAGAACAGCAUGCUAGUACUAGGCUAGGGAUCUUCAGGAAUUGCAUGAUAGAAUUGCCUGAUUAUAUGAUGCCUGCUAGCCUAGGGUAUCCUUUGUAUGAAAUUGACAUCAUUACUAUAGUUAUUUUGUGUAUGCAUCAUGGUUAUACAUAAUUAAGAUCUUAUAGCCCGAUAAUGUUUGAUUUGGUCUUAUGUUCUGUUCUUGUAUGAUUGGGAGCUUAGGGUAGGAUUGGAUAUUCGAAAGUCUAUAGGGUCUAGCGUUAUGUAUGACUAGCAUACACUAGUGCUGCAGGGUUGGUGGAAGUUUCAUGGAUGGGUGGGUUGCAUGAGAGCAGUAGGUCGGUUAUGAGAUAGUGAUGCUCCUCUAGGAGUGGGGGUCGAGUGUUCUUUAUGUAUAUGCUAUUGUUAGGGUGUUGUGGUGAUACUUGAUACAAAUAUGGGUAGGUGUGGAAGGUAGUAUGGGCCCGUACUACUGAAAGCAUAGGACCCAUACGCGUAUCAAGGAAGUCACAAACCCUAGGGUUUUGUUGGGAGUUAGUUCUUGGGGUAUUAUGGGGAAUGCCUAAUAUCUUGUGGUGUAUUUUCAGUAUGGCGAUUACGAGGCAUCUCGGGGCAGGAUCCGGUUCGGGAUCGGGAUCAGGAGAGGGUGAUCAGGGUGGAUCGGUACCACUCGAGGUCAUUGGUUAGAUGAGUACGGACGAGUUGAAUGCCAGGAUUCGUGAUAUCCUGCAUGAUGAGGUUGCUGCUAUGUUCCGGGCCGAGUUGCCAGAGAUGUUUGGGUCGAUCAAGACCGCCAUGAUUGAGUACUUUGAUGACCGCCAUGGUGUUAUGUUAGUGACCUGGUUAAGGUCGGUACCCGGUAUAUAGGGUAAUGUUAUGUUAGUGACUUGGUUAAGGUCGGAACCCAGUAUUUAGGGUAAUGUUAUGUUAGUGACCUGGUUAAGGUCGAUACCCGGUACAUAGGGUAAUGUCAUGCUAGUGACCGGUUAGGUCGGAAUCCUGGUUAGGAUGUUGAUAUGUUAUGUGAUCUGUUAGACCGUUUGUCCGGUUAAGGAUUUGUUAUGUGAUUAAUCGUUUUUAUGUGCACAUGGUUGUUUGACGGGGGUUGGGUUGAGGCGGGUCCUGCUUUGUGCUGUAGGCCAACAUACCCAGGGCGGACUGGAUAAUCCGAAGGCCCAACGAGCGGUCCGGAUAGGCUGAAGGCCCUAAGAGAGUGGACCAUACGUGUCAAGGCUCGGAGAGUGGACCAGGCCGACUGAAGGCCCGGUGUGGGCGGACCUGUCAUAAUGUAGACUCGACGUAUAUGGCUAGACUCGGAGGGUGGACCAAGGGGACUGAAGGCCCGGUGCGGGCGGAUCAGUCACACAGUGGACCCGAUGUGCAUGGCUGUUCUGUAUUGUGAUGUGUUAUGAGUAUGGUUAUAUGUGGUUGGUAUUUUGGGGGUAACUCACUAAGCUUUCGGGAUUACAGUUCUGUGUUUUGUUUCAAGUACUUUAGGAGAUCAUGGCAAGGAGAAGGCGUGAUCGUACCGCUCCUCAUGAUUUAUGAUUUAUGUGAUAUGGUUCUGUGGAAAUACUCUGAUGUUUAAACUAUUUUGAAAACAAAUGUAUGAACUUAAUGGUUUUUGAAUGAAUUAAAAUGUUUUAAUUUGGCUCGAAUUUUAUGGGUGUUACAUGGUGCCUCCAUUUCAGGGGAAUGUCGUAGCUUCAAAUCCCACUACCUUUGAUAGUGCCAAGCAAUUGGCACAGCGGCUCAUCGAUCAUGGAGUCCGCACCUCGACAAAAACAAUAACCCUGGCCAUCCACGAACCAUCCAAGAUCGCUGACAAAAAGCAGAAGUUUUGGGACAACAAGAAGAAGAACGCGGCACAGAGCUCUUCCAAGAGGUAGCAGGUCGUGGCUGUUCAUACUAUGAUAACACCUACUGCUACUGCGCCGAUGAAGCAGUAUGCUGGGAGCUUGCCAAGUGCAACAAGUGCAGCUUCCAUCACAACAGACCCUGCCGGGAAAUGCAAUGCGCUAACUGCAACAGGAAAGGGCACACUGCCCGUUUCUGCAAGGCUCUGGCAAGGCCAAUCACACAAGUCCGCGGCGUUGGUGUGGGUCAGGCUUGCUACAGAUGUGGCCAGGUGGGUCACUAAAAAAGAAACUGCCCGAAUGUAGGGAACGCUGGCGGAAGGGGAAGAGUUUUGGCUAUAGGCCACGAGGAAGCGGUUGCUGACCUUACAGUGGUCACUGGUACGUUUCUCCUUGAUAACUCAUAUGCAUGCAUACUAUUUGAUAGUGGAGCGGAGAGGAGUUUCGUGAACCAUAAAUUUGUUCACUUGCUUAAACAAAAACCACGUGCACUUAAAGAACUAUUCACAGUAGAAAUGGCUAACGGAAAGACUGAGAGCACUAGCAGGAUAUACAUAGGAUGUACUUUAACUCUAGAUAGCCAUUCAUUUUCAGUCGACCUCAUGCCGGUCUCCAUUAAAAGUUUCGACGUCAUUAUCGGCAUGGAUUGGUUGAGUCUUCAUCGUGCCAACAUCAUGUGUUAUGAAAAGGUCGUUCAUCUUAAUCUACCGUCUAACGAUACCUGUCACAAGUAGCAAAUUUGGCUUGGAAAUUCUAUCCUUUUGUAAGCAAUAUCAAUGUCAACAAAUUGUAACCUUGACCUGAUAAUGCAUACGAUGUUAUUCAAUAACAACAAACUUUCAUCAAAAUCCAAUUAUAAAGCCAAAACUUCAUGCAAAACAUUUCAAAACUCAAGUUAGGGUUUGAAAACCCUAAGAAUCCCGACCUAAGUCCAUUUUGGACUAGGAUUUCCUUAUUGGGCUUAAUGGGCCAAUAAGCUUCCGGUUUGAUUGUUUUGGGCUUAAAACUCUUAAUUGGGCUCUAACUGGAUCCACUUUCAUGAGAAUUAACAUUUUAGUCCAAAUGGGCCUAAAAUGAAAUAGAUUACCUUAAUGGGCCAUAACUAACCUAAUUAGCCUUAAUGGGCCAUAAAACCCAUUCUUUUAUGCUAAUUGGGCCGUGAACCAUCUGUAACGCCCAUAGAUCCGGGCUAGUCAAUUUAGAGACAAUAGGCAUCAAAAAUGAGUUUUUAAUGGUAGAUUAUUUAGAAGGAAUAAUCUUAAACAAGUUGUAGAAUACGUCUCAAGGGUUCCGUACAUAUAAAGAACGUUGAAAUCCGAGUUAUAACGAAGAAGUAAUGGUCCGUCGAAGUUUUAUGGCAAAACUGGCACGACACCGGGAAACGUAAAUAGUGAAUUUACGAUGGAGGACUUUUUAGCCUUAUAAAUCUAAACAAAAGUUGUAGUAUACAUUAAACUGAGAACAUAAAAAAAAAAGAACGCCCAAAUCUGACUUCGUAUGAGGAAGUUAUGAAUUUUCUAAGAUUUGGCUUAGCAGUGCACAGCCCGAAACUCGAAUUUUAGAUCGAGCGGGUUUUGGCCUACGCGACCUAAAUAAGAAUUGAAGAUCUCAUUAAGAGGAACUUAACGGUAAAAAGAAAGACGAAAACGGAGUCCGUAUGUAAAAGUUAUAAAUUUUACGCGGGCGUUUAACAAUGUAAUCAUCUCCUACUAUUAAAUUUAAGAUCGGUCGAGUAACCGACGGAGUAAAAAGGAAAGUUGUAGAUUUUAUUUUUACCUACGCGUGGAUAUAAAUAACGUCAAAAACGGAGCUCGUAUGCGAAAGUUAUGGACGAAGCUUAGUCUCUACUUUUCGAGUGCGGCGAAUUCGAUCAAUUUUGUAAAUCCGAGAUAGAAUGAGAAUUAGCCAACGAGGUCUAAAUGAAAGUUGUAGUACUCAUAAAUACCAAAAAAUGGAUAUAAAUAACGUCAGAAAUGGAGCUCGUAUGCGAAAGAUAUGAACGAAGCUUAGUCGCUACUCUGCGGAGAAGUUGGCAGAAUUAUACGUGAGGGAGGUGGUAUCGCGGCAUGGGGUUCCGAUGUCGAUUGUUUCAGAUCGUGAUGUGCAUUUUACUUCCAGAUUUUGGAAGAAGUUUCAUGAGGAGUUGGUUACGAGACUGCAUUUCAGUACCGCAUACCACCCGCACACGGACGGACAGAACGAGCGAACGAUUCAGACACUUGAGGAUAUGCUCCGAGCAUGUGUUUUGGAUUUCGGAGGGAGCUGGGACACCUAUCUACCUUUAGCUGAGUUUUCGUAUAACAACAGCCAUCAUUCAAGCAUUGGUAUGCCACCCUUUGAGUUGUUGUAUGGGCGGAGAUGUCGCACCCCCAUCUGCUGGCGAGAGGUAGGGCAGCGGGUGAUGGGUAGCACGGAGAUCGUACUCCAGACGACCGAGCAUAUUCAGCAGGUCAGGCAGAGGUUGUUGACCGCGCAGAGUCGCCAGAAGAGUUAUGCGGACAGGCGGCGGUCCGAGCUCGAGUUUCAGGUUGGUGACCUUGUGCUCCUCAAGGUCUCUCCUUGGAAAGGAGUGAUACGAUUCAGGAAGAGGGGCAAGUUGGGACCCCGGUACAUUGGACCCUUCAGGGUAAUUGCUAGGGUAGGCCGGGUAGCCUACCGGUUGGAUCUACCUGCUGAAUUGGGGCAGAUCCAUGAUACCUUUCAUGUCUCGCAGUUGAGGAAAUGUAUUGCCGACGAGUCGGCAGUGGUGCCAUUGGAUGAUAUUCAGGUGGAUGCAGGCCUGAACUAUGUGGAGAGACCAGUAGCGAUCAGGGAUCGGAAAGUUAAGGUUUUGAGGAACAAGGAAAUACCGCUGGUACAAGUGCAGUGGCAACAUCGGAAAGGGUCCGAGCUGACGUGGGAGACCGAGUCUGAGAUGCGGGAUCAGUAUCCGGAGUUGUUUUCGGUAUGAGACUUCGGGGGCGAAGUCUGAUUCUAGUGGGGGAGAAUUGUAACAGCCCGAAAUCCAGGUAUUCUUCUUUUGGCCUUACAUCUUGGUUAAGUUGAUGAUUUAGGGUUUUCAUGGUAGGCGAGUACGCUGGGCGUACAAGGUGUACGCUGCGCGUACUCGCGCGCCUCAUUUGGACGCGUUUCCCCUCAGGUACGCGGGGCGUACCCAAGGUUACGCCCGGCGUAACUUAUUCAGACCCAAACCCUAAAUUCCUUUGAUGGGGCUAUAAAAGGAACAUGUGGCUGGUCUUCUCAGCCACCAUCCCUCAGAGUGAAACCCUAAAAAGAGUGUACCCUCGUUCUUAGGCCAUUGUGUGUGUAUUCUAAGCUUGGUGGUGCCAUUUCAAGGUUGCAAAGGAGAAGAAGAGCUUGUUGGAGAGGCUAGAAGUGGUGCUCAAGUGUAGAUCUGAACUUUGCAAGGGCUAAAGCUUCAUUUCCAGGUAUAAAGUUCGGAUCUUGUCACUUGGUUCAUGUUGUAUGCUUAAAAGGUCAUUUUCUAGGGUUUAAGUCCCAAAGGUGGAGACUUUUGUGCAAAUGGCCUCCAUAAGCUUAGAUACUUCAUAUUUCUGAUCUAUUGGGGUUGUAGACUCAUAAAAAUGGCAUCUUGGACGUGGGGUUUGCACCAUGCAUGAGAUCUAGGUCCUUGAGUUUGAAUAAAGGGUUGUUAUGUGAUGUUGGAGCCUUUACAGCCGUGCCAAGGCUUAAAGGUCUCGACUUUAUGGGUUUAGACACACUAGAAGAGUCGGAUCUAGAAGUGGAAGUAAUGGCUUAACCGAUUAAGACCAGAAAUGGAGAGUGGCUGAUUCUGGGGGUUACGCUGGGCGUAACUUCCAGUACGCGCAGCGUACUGGGUGGAGACCCCGAUGCAAGGGGGGUUGGCGAUGUACGCCCCGUGUACAUCUAGCAGUACGCCCAUCGUACUCUCAGGGUUGACUUUUGUUGACUUUUAGGGUUUUGGUCAACAUAAGGAUGAUAAGGGUAAAGUUUUAGUGGUGGAAGUCUUUGUGUAAUAAAUAAUAUUUUUAUGUUUAGGCGAGGCUGAGCCGUCGUUUGGAUUCAGUGAUAGCGAGGACACGAGAUCUUAGACUUUCCACAAGGUGAGUCUUCUCACUAUACUAUACCCGGAAGGGUUUGACUGUGUGACCGGAAGGUCGGAUAUGGUAUGAGAUAUAUGUGUUGUGUGUGAUAAGUUAAUCGUUAUAUGUGCCAUGUAUGAUAUGCUUGAUAUGGGCCGGAAGGCAUUAUGUUAUGGGCCGGAAGGCGAAUAUGUUAUGGGCCGGAAGGCGNGUGGACCAUAAGGUUGACGUGGGUAGGACCGGAAGGUUUACCUAGCCGGGACGGAAGUCCCCUGAGACACAUGGAUCGGAAGGUCAGGGCCUGGAAAGGCGUAUGUGCGUAGGUUGUAUUUUGGGGAACUCACUAAGCAAUUAUGCUUAUAGUUGUUGUGUUAUGUGUUUCAGGUACUAGCGAGGACCGUGGGAAGGCGCCGGCGUGAUUGUACACACUCACGGAGAAACUGUUUUUAUGAUCAUGGGAUGUAUUUCGUUAUGAUAAUAUUGUUCACGUUUGAAUUUGGAAUAUUAAACGAUGGGUUUUGAUGUUUACAAAAAUGAAAAAAUUGGUUUUAAAAUUUACGUUGUUACACUUCGUGCGCGAUAAAUACGAUACAAUUUUGUAAAUCUGAGAUAGAAGGAGAAUUGGCCGACGGGGUCUAAAUGAAAGUUGUAGUACAUGGAAAUACCAAUGCGUGAAUAUAAAUAAUGUAGAAAACGGAGCUCGUACGCGAAAGAUACGGACGAAGCUUGGAGACUACUUUACUAUAAAAUUCCUAUAAAUAAGAGAUGAACUCUUUAUAAUUUCUUCACACCAUAAGCCUUUCUUUCUCUUUCUAACUUCUCUCUAACCUCCUUAAACCCUUACCAAGUCUAGGGAACCUCCCUAACAUGAGAAGAAAGCCCCGGAGCGCCCGACGGCUCCGAGAAGAAAAGCUUUCGGAUCAGAAACGCUGCUCCAGCGAAGCCCGGUUUUUAAUAAAAAUCUGCUGUUUUGUCGAGGAAAAUUGUUUUGAGAUAACGAAGCGCUGUCUGAGUUCGGAAUCACCACCUAAUCAAGUGAUUGCAUGGUCUCUUUCAUCUUACACAUAGAUAUGAAGUAUUUUAUAUAAACUAUGUGUUAUGUGUGCAUAUUAUUUGUAUACUUGCUAUCUAUGCUGGAUGAAUGAUUUUAUACAAGUUUUAAAUGAUUUAAACUGUAUACGUAUUUUAUAUCUACAAAUAUGUUGGGUAUAACAUGGGUAAAUGAAUGAUGAGAGUAAAAGAUGAUAUGAGUGAUCAUUGGCAGCUAAUGGACUUAGUGCCUCUGGAAUAAAUGCUGGUAGCUAUGGACUUAAUACCUGAUAGAUAAACGUUGGUAGCUAUGGACUUAGUACCUAGACACUAAUAGCUAUGGAUUUAGUACCCGAUGAAUGAACUUUAGCAGCUAUGUAAUUAGUGCUAUACGAACGAGCAUUGGCAGCUAUGGACUUAGUGCCAGUCCUAUAACCUUGGAAGCAAAGGACUUCAGAAUGAACGAAGGCAGGAUAGAUGACUCUUAGGGUAGACUCUUGAGAGUAAGGAAGAUAAUGGGGACGGGUAAUUGGGUUGAUUUUUUGAUUGUUUAAACAUAAUAAUUAUAUUAUUGUGGGUUGAAAACCCUAUGUACUCACCAGGUUUCCCAACCUGACCCACUCAGCUUAUUUAUAUCACAGGUGUUGAUAUGAAGUCACAUUACAUUGAGAGAUUAAGGAGAUAUAAAUCACUAGUGAUAAUGAAUGUAAGUUCUAUUUAUGCUUAUGUUUCUGUAUUGACGAUGGCAUCCUAAAUGUUUUAAAAUGAAUAAAAAUACUUUUCUUCGGAAAUGCUUUGAUAACGUAUUUAUCAUGUUUUACUAGGAACAAAUUCUGCAACAUUUUUCUUUUCUAGCCGUGAAAAUGGGGAUGUCACACCAUACUAAGAGCACAAUGGGCCGAAGAAUAAUUAUUGGGCCUCAUAGUUUCAGACCAAGGCUAGAAAUGGGCCAAAUUAUUCCAUUGCCCCUUUUUCCAAACCCAAUUUUCGGCCCAUUUGAUUAAAAAAAGGGAAAGAAACUAGGGGGAUUAAUGAGAGUAAGCCACCUCAUUUUUGUUUAGUGGUUAUCCAAACCCAUUACACAUCAAAUAACAAAGCAUGAACCUAUUUUUCCAUGCAUUCUUUCUUUCCCCUCUUCCUUUUUCUUCUUGGCCGAGAAUCACAAACGCACACACACUUCAUUUGAAAUCCUUUCCAACACUCUCAAGAAAACUACUCUCUUUUCCUUUCAAAAUUUUCGAGAUUUAAGCAUUCAAAAAUGUCUUUCCAUCUAGAUCAUCACCUUGGUAAGUUUUCAUUUGGAUUCAUGGUUUAACUUCUGGAUUUCUUUAAAGGCCUUUUCCUAAACCAUAAUAUUCCAUGAACUAAACCUCCUUGUUUCAUAGAUUUCGAAAAUCACUCAAGGAAAGCUUGUUCAAGGCCUUAAACCUCUUCAUCUUUCCUUCAAAACCGAACCAACAAACCUCAAGGUAAGUUCAUACCCCCUUCUUUUCGGUUUUUACUUGUUUUUUUUUUUUUUUGGGGGGGGGGGGGGGGAAUACAAGUGUUAUGUGUUGAUCUAGGUGUGUAUGCAUGUUAUGUGUGAUUUCUUUGGUUAUUGUUGUGAAAAAUGUGAUAAUGCUUGAUAUAGUUCGAAAUCUCUAGUAUAAAUGAGAAAGACUCAUAAACAAAAGCAUAUUAAACAACAUACUUCAAGGCUCUAAGUAUUUUUAUGUAUAAGAAAGGAAAAAAAAUAAAACAAAGCAAAAGAUUGUAUAAGUAUCAUUUUCGCAAAGACAACAAAGAUAUGGGUAAAAUAUGACCAUUUUUGGUUUUAUUAGGGUUAUAUGGUAUUUAUUUAUAUGAAAUCUGAUUUUUAUGAAAAUAAUACCUUUCAAGGGGUCAAAGGCAUAAAUUUUAGUCUAUCGGGCUUACAUUUGGGCCUUACGGGUUUUUGGGCCCAAAAAUGUAAAAAUGAGGAGUUUUUGGGUUGAAAUUGUAAAUUCACUUAAAGUAUGAGUCAAAAACAAAAACAAACUAUUUCAAGGGCUGAAAUGAUCUUUAUUACAAGAAUUGGACCAAAAUGCAAAGUUUUUUUUGGAAUUUGGAUAAAAAAUGCAAAACUUAUGAAAGUUGGGACCAAAAGUGUAAAUUUUUUACAAAUAAGGGCUGGAAAUAUCAAAUAACAUGUUUUUGGGCUGAAAAUAUAAUAUAAAAAUAUUUUUGGGCCAAAAAUGCCAAGAAAAGUGAUUUAAGGACCGAAAAUGUUAUUUUUCAUCAAAAGGGACUAAAAAUGUCAUUUUUAUUAAGAAAUGACUAAAAAUGUAACUUUAUAUGAAAAUUGGGCUAAAAUGGUCGAAUAAAUAUUUUGGGGUCAAAUAUGUUAAUAUUAAAACAAUUGGGCCAAAGAUAUUAAAUUUAUAAAAAAUGGAUUUAAAAAUNNNNNNNNNNNNNNNNNNNNUAUAUAUAUACUAGGUUAUAACCCGUGUACCACACGGUCGACAAAGUAAAAACAACAUUCGAAUUCAAAAGAAAUUUAACAGGAAGAUGUAAACAUAAAAAAUUGUAAGUUGGGGACACGUAAAGGUGACAAUUUUCUACAUAUUGAAUGCCUCCUAAGGAUAUGAUUAGAUACACGUAACUUGGUUGAAAUCCAUUAAGAUGACAUAAUAAAUAUACAAAAGAUAGUUUGUAUACCUAUUGAGUAUAAAUACUAAAUGAGUUAAUGUUAUUGAACACCAUUUUAUUGGGGGUUAGCAUAGAAAGUAGAAGCUUGUUACCCGUUCUUGGAACCAAAACAAAACCAAUGAACAAUCUGCAAUUUUGGAACCGAAACCAUUGAAACCGAUUCAAGUUCAUGACAUUUUUGAACCACUACCCAUUGGAUAUCCGUCUUUCUAUAUAUAUAUAUAUCAACUCCAAAAUCUAUCUUUGAAAUAGUUAUAAAAACAAAAAUUUAGAAUUUAAAAAUAUUAUAUUAGUAUUUAAAUGGUAUACAAUGUUCAUUAUGUUCCAAAUACAAUUUAUCUCAAUAAAAAUAUUUUUUUAUUAGAGAGGGUUUAAAAAUUUCAUAGGUGUAAACCCAAAUUUUAAACGGUUAUCUAAAAGCAAGGUUGUAAAAAUCGCUCGACGUUAGCUAGUCGGUGGACUGGAGUUAAGAGAUUAAUCGGUUAGGCGGAGAUUAAUCGGGGGAUUAAUCAGGGACCAUUAAUUGUUAAUUUGUUAUAUUUUAAAAAAUUAAAUAGGACUAAUAUCAUAUAAAAGUUCAUAAAUACCACUAAUAUCAAAACAAAAUAGGUUAAUAUGAUAAAUACAACACUAAUCAUACAUCAAAUGGUUUCUAUUGAGAUAUAACUUCUUCAAAGUAUUAAAAUUUCAUCGGGUUCUACUGUUUCAAUCAUUUUGUAUGCAUGGAUUAAUCGCUAGGCGCUCUCUAAUCGAUCGAGUAGCGCCUAGGGAUUAAUCGGAGAUUAAUCGGGAUUUUUACAACAUUGACUGAAAGUAUCUAAACUUUGAGUUACCUUGAUGACAACCGUUAAGAAAGAUUAGAACUUUGAUUUUUAAAAUUAUUUGUGUUCAAGAAUGUGUCAUCUAUAUUAGAAUCAGACAUAUUGGAUAUGAUGUAUUCAAUUUUUUUGUUUUUUAGCACAAUUGCUUUGUACGAAAUUUUUCGUAUUUCAUUUAGUAUGUCAUGAAUGUCUAAUAACAAAUUUUAUAAAAAUAAAAGAUAAACAGAACCAAAACGUAUAAGAGUUCUGGAAACGGUUACAAGAUCUUUCCUUAUCUAUUUCUCUCAUAAUAUUGUAUUGUAGCUUUUUGUGCUUACCAAAUACCAACAUUUGUAUGUCACAAUUAGAUUGUGGCCACCAAUUACGUUUAGUUAAUAGAGUCCCUUAUAGGCUCUUAGCAUACUGUUUUUUUAACCAUUCUUACAAGUUUUAGAGUUGUUAAUUAACAAUGAUUGUCUUUAACAUAAAAUGGGGUGUCUUUUUAGCCAACACCUCUAGUAAAAUAAGACUAAUGUAUUUUAUCUUUUACUUAAUAGAACUUCUUGAUGCAAUACUAACCCAGGUAGAUAAUAUAACCUACCAUUAGCAUUUAGCUACCUAGAUUCUAAAUUUAUUAGAAAACACAAUACUAAAAAUUGUAAUAAUGAAUGGAUCCUUAUGUUUGAUAAACAUUUUGCUCAAGCAUAAAAAUGUUUCAUGUGCAUGCAUCGCAUGUAAUGGGUAAACUACUCAUUAGAAGCAUUAUAUACUAUAGUAAACCAAAAUAUGAAAUCAAAAAUAGAGCAUGCAUCUACAUGACAAAAUCAAACAGGUUUCUAUAAUGUAAACUAGUUUAUAACCCAUGAGAACCACGGUUAAAAAAUUAAUUAAACUUUCAUAGUAAAAACUCAAAAUUAUUAAUCAAUUAUUUUAAAUAAAUUAUUAAUUAAAAACUUUUUUUUUAGUUAUAUAAGAUUAUAAUCGUUGAUUUAAAUAAGUAUGUGAACUUAUAAUAUGUAUUAAUUUUAUUUAAUUUAAUGUAAUUAGAGUGAAAAUUUUAAAUUUUGAAAUUUGAAAUGGAUAAUCAGUAGAUUGACGACAUGACAUUAAUUAUAAAGUCUAAUAAGAUGACACAUGUCAAAAGGACAAUCAACUUAUUCUUUUAUUAGAAUAGGGAUAUCAACGUUUGAAUGUACAAAAGUAAGAAUUACAUGUACAAUUCAUAACAUAGCUCGAAGCAGGGUACUUAUGUUCUCCUUCACUAUCUUAUGUUCUCCUUCACUAUUUAUAAUAUUGAGAUAAAGCGAACACAUUAUCAUGAAGAUUACUAUUAAAUCAAGUGCAUAAGGACAAUUGCGUACUAUCAAAAUCAUAUUUGUACUUACUUUUAUAAUUUUUGAGAGGGAAGAACACUCAAUUAUAAAAUUCAACCUUUUUUACUCAAACUACAAUUCAGAUUCCAUCAAUGGAAUCGUAACAUUUUAACCGUGUCUGACCAAAAAUUAAGUGUUCUCAAUCAUCCACGAAAUUGUAAUCCUAAAUGAGCUAUUUCUCAGAGUGGGAUUAAAUCGGGUCUUAAAAAUCAAAAUACUACCAUUCAUAAUCUACUACUUCUUGUUUCUAGAUGUACGUAGAACUCAUAGAAUUAGCUACCGACACAGAAAGCAUUCAAUGUCGUUGAGCAGCGAGCCGGAAUAUUAUCUUCUGACGCUUAAGGAUUUGGAUAUUUUAAAUUUUGAAACAAUAUCAUAGUUGAUUUUGUUUCCAAAAGAGAGCAGAAGAAAUUAGAGGAGACAGAGUCGUGAUUUAGGGAUGAAGCGAUGAAACGAUGAAGGAGAGAGCGAGAUAUUGUUCCUGUUUUGUAGACUUGGUAGUUGGAAGGUCCUCACUCAAUACAAUUAAUGUGGAAUGAAAUAAAAAAGCUAAUUCAAUUAGUUUUAAUAGCAUUGAAUAUCAUUUUAAUGGCAUUGAUUAUCAUUGAGCGGGAAAAUAAAAAAAACGGACAAAGAGAAAUGCCACGUGUCAAACCGAGUGAUAAGAAGAUGACACGUGUCAUAAAAUAGACUCUUUUAUCAGAAGUACUAGUUUAUAACCCAUGAGAAUCACGGUUAUUAAAUUAAUUAAACUUUCAUAUUAAAAAAUCAAAAUUAUUAAUCAAUUAUUUUAAAUAAAUUAUUAUUUAAGAGAUAUUUUUUUAGUUAUAUAAAAUUAUAAUCGUUGAUUUAAAUAAAUACAUGAAGUUAUAUCAACUUAUAAUCUAUAUUAAUUUUAUUUUAUUUUUUAAUCUAAUGUUAUUAAUUUAAUAAAAUUAGAAUGAAAAAAUGUAAAAUUUGAAAUUUAAAAUGGAGAAUCAAUUAUUAAUUUAAUGUAAUUAGAGUUACAAAUUUAAAAUUUGAAAUUUGAAAUUGAUAAUUAAUUGGUUGACAAGUGACAUAAUAGGUGACAUAUAAUAUUAACUAGUUUAUAACCCGUGAGAACCACGGUUAUAAAAUUAAUUAAACUUUAUAUUAAAAAUCAAAAUUAUUAAUGAAUUAUUUUUAAAAAAUUAUUACUUAACAUAUAUAUUUUUAGUUAUAUAAAGUUAUAAUAGUUUAUUUAAAUAAAUACGUGAAGUUAUAUCAUAUUAUAAUUUGUAUUAAUUUUAUUUUAUUUUUUAAUCUAAUGUUAUUAAUUCAAUAUAAUUAAAGUGAAAAAAUUUGAAAUUUAAAAUUUAAAAUUUAAUGUAAUUAUGGUGGGAAAUUUAAAUUUUAAAAUUUAAAAUGGAUAAUUAAUAUGUUGAUAAGUGGCAUGAUAAAGGACAUAUAACUUUAAUGAGAAUUUUUAAUAUAAUGCCACUUGUCAAUAUGAUAUUAAACCUAUUCAUUUAUUAGGAUAGAGAGAUGAGGAGUUCUAAUAAAAUGACAUUUGUCAAUAGGAGAAUAAACUUAUUUAUUUAUUAGAAUAGGGAUAUAUAUAUAUAUAUAUAUAUAUAUAUAUAUAUAUAUGUAUGUAUGUAUGUAUGUAUGUUUAUAACCAAAGUGUCGUUACAAUCCAACGUCAAGUGUUUUACUAUUGAAAACAAAUACGAAGCGUAAAACGAAUUCUAUAUUACAAACAUAUCGAAGAACGGAGAAACGAUACAAUGAUUGGGCCUAAUGUUACUCAUUGUGUCCAUUGGGCCUUCGUGGUCCAAUUUCAUAAUUAUUAGGCCCAAUAUAAUCAAAACAUGUUUAUUGGGCUUCUGGUGACUCAAUUACAUGCCUACGGGACCCUCUAUGACUUUUACAUGCUAAUGGGCCUUAGUGGCCCAUUUGCAUUGCAAGUAUGGUCCAAAUAAAACAUAGGUUUGAUGGGCUAACGUGUCCAUAAGAAUACACGACAGCCUAUAAAAGACACACAUAAUUAGUGGGCCACAGCGUCCUUUUUCGUGUUUGUUACGCUUUACUCUAUACUAUGUAAACAUCAAACGGUUUGUAAUCAAUUUCAUUCAAAUUCAUGGGUUAAUAUUGGGGACUUAGUGAGAAAAUAUCAGUCGGCACCAAUAAGUGUCGGCCGUAGUCUGUAAGUUGUAACAGAGUCUCCUGGAGGGAGAGCGAGAGUUUGUGUGUAGAUCUAUAUGGGUGACAAAAUCUUAAUCAAAACCGGCGAAAUAGUCAUUAUCAUGCAUGGUUAUAACGAAUCACAUAGAGACCCAUUACCAUAUCAACAUUCAUGGGAAAUCAACUUCAUACAUGGUGGCUAUACAAUGUGAAUUAUGCGAUAAUAUAAAACUAUCAUACUAUUUUAAAUCGGAAAAUAUCGGAUUUUCCGGGGAAAUAACAUUGUUCAUUUGACAUACUUCAAAUGCAAGACAAAGAACACUUUUGAAGUCAUUCAUUUAUACAUGUUUUGAAAUCAUGCAUACAUAUACAUAUAUUGGAUCAUCACAUCAUGUCAUAAACAGUUUUCAUUUCAGAAAAUAUCGGAUUUUCUGAGCUAUACGAACAAUACAAACCAUUUUAUAUUAAACAUGCUUAUGAACUCACCAACAUUAUAUAUGUUGACUCGUUUUCAAAUAACUUGUAUUCUCAGGUAACAGAUAAGCAGAAGAAAAUUGUCAAGUGUAUUAGGCUUUCAUGUUUUGUGAGUUUCAAAGAAUAUACGUUUUAAUUAUGUAAUAUUUGUUCAAUGUACUUGAUGUGAACUAUGUAAGUUGUACUAUGUAAUGUUGGUGAUGUAUGUGUUUGUUUCAUGUAUAAUCAUUGUAAUGGUAUUUAAUUGUUCGUCACGCAAGCCCUCAGACGUUUCCACCGCCCGGUUCGAGGGUGUGACAAAACCCUAGUUAUCUAUGGCGACAAACCCGACACGAACCUUCUUAUCAUCUCGAGUAUACAAGCCCAUAAGUACUUGCGAAAGGAAUGUUACACAUUCCUUACUCAUGUGGUCGAUAUGAGCCAAGAGAUGAAAGACAUAAAGAACAUCCCUGAAGUACGCGACUUUCCCGACAUCUUCCCAGAAGAACUACCAGGAUUACCUCCACAUCAUCAAGUCGAGUUCAGAAUUGACUUAGUUCCAGGGGCUACCCCAGUAGCCAAAUCGCCUUAUCGUCUAGCACCAGCUGAGAUGCAGGAGCUGUUCGGUCAACUUAACGAACUGCUCAACAAGGGCUUUAUUAGACCAAGCUUCUCACCCUGGGGAGCACCGGUCUUAUUCGUAAAGAAGAAAGACAGAUCGUUCUGUAUGUGCAUCGAUUACAGAGAACUAAACAAGAUAACCAUAAAAAAUCGUUACCCUCUACCUCGCAUAGAAAAUUUGUUCGACCAACUGCAAGGGGAGAAUUACUUUUCAAAGAUAGAUCUGAGAUUUGGGUAUCACCAGUUACGAGAGCUAGAGGAGGAUGUUCGCAAGACAACCUUUCGAACUCGUUAUGGACACUACGAGUUUGUAGUGAUGCCAUUAGGAUUGACUAAUGCACCCGCAGUAUUCAUGGACUUAAUGAAUAGGGUAUGCCAUCCUUACUUGGAUCAGUUCGUCAUUGUGUUCAUUGAUGACAUACUUAUUUACUCUCGUAGUAAGGAAGAGCAUAGUAAGCACAUACGUCAGAUCUUGGAAACAUUACGAUCAAAGAAGCUCUACGCGAAGUUCUCUAAAUGCAAAUUUUGGAUUAGAAGAGUCGAAUUCUUGGGUCACGUUGUUAGUGAAGAAGGAAUUCACGUGGACCCUUCCAAAAUAAAGGCCAUUAAGAACUGGUCAGCGCCGAAGACGCCUACAUAAAUUCGUCAAUUUCUAGGCCUCGCUGGCUACUAUUGUAGGUUCAUUCAUAACUUUUCUAGGAUUGCGAAACCGCUUACUACAUUGAGCCAGAAAGGCGUGGCCUUUGACUGCGAAGAGAAACAAGAGAAGGCGUUCCAAACGCUGAAACAAGCCUUAUGCACAGCACCGAUACUAUCCCUCCCAGAAGGGAUAGAAGACUUUGUGGUUUAUUGCGAUGCAUCAAACCAAGGACUCGUUUGUGUUCUUAUGCAACAAGGUAAGGUCAUCACCUAUGCGUCAAGACAACUAAAGACACACGAGGUCAACUACACCACACAUGAUCUUGAGUUAGGAGCAGUUGUGUUUGCUCUGAAGAUCUAGAGACACUACCUGUAUGGUACAAAAAGCACUAUCUUUACAGACCACAAUUGCCUUCAACAUAUAUUCGACCAGAAGGAGCUCAAUAUGAGACAACGACGGUGGUUCGAGCUACUCAAUGACUACGAAUGCGAAAUUCAUUAUCAUCUCGACAAAGCCAACGUAGUAGCUGACGCCCUAAGUCGGAAAACAUACUCUGGUCGUAGAGUCAAAUCAUUGACUAUGAAUAUCCAUUCACAUUUGUCCAUGCAAAUUAAGGAGGCCCAGCUUCAAGCCUUAAAACUUGAAAAUGUGGCGGCUGAAUCCUUGAGAGGGAUGGAUAAGAACUUAGAAAUCAAGGCUGGCGGAGCCUUAUGUCUCAUGGAUCGGAUUUGGACACCGAUGCAUGGUGGUUUCAGAGACUUGGUCAUGACAGAAGCGCACAACACUCGAUAUUUCGUCCACCCAGGUUCAGAUAAGAUGUAUCUGGGUCUUAAAAAGUUAUAUUGGUGGCCUAACAUGAAAGCAGAGAUUGCUACCUUCGUGAGUAAAUGCCUUACUUGCGCCAAGGUUAAGGUCGAAUACCAAAAACCAUCAGGUUUACUUCAACAACCGGAGAUACCUGAAUGGAAGUGGGAGUGGAUCACAAUGGACUUCAUAACCAAGUUUCCCAAGACAACGGGUGGUCUCGAUACCAUUUGGGUGAUCGUAGACAAGUUAACCAAGUCCGCACACUUCCUGCCUAUCAAAGAGACGGACAAGAUGGAGAAACUAACUAGAACCUACAUUAGGGAGAUCGUUCGAUUGCAUGGUUUCCCAUAUCCAUUAUCUAUGAUAGAGAUAGUAGAUUCACUUCAAGGUUCUGGCAGUUGCUACAAGUUUCCCUAGGAACUAGGCUGGACAUGAGUACAACCUACCAUCCGCAAACCGACGGACAAAGUGGGAGGACUAUUCAAACUUUGGAAGAUAUGUUUCGAGCUUGUGUGAUUGACUUUGGAAAAGCAUGGGAUAUUCAUCUACCCCUUGUCGAGUUCUCCUACAAUAACAGUUAUCACACGAGCAUAAAGGCUGCUCCAUUUGAAGCCCUCUAUGACCGGAAGUGCAGAUCCCCUCUGUGCUGGGCUGAGGGGGGUGACACUCAGUUAGCUAAAGGAUGUGUUCCUGACAGCACUCUCACAGGUCCAGAAAUCAUUCAGGAAAUGACAGAGAAUAUCAUUCAAAUAUGUGAAUGAUUAAAAGCCUCUAGAGACCGACAGAAAAGCUACGCAGACAAGAGAAGAAAACCUUUGGAAUUCUAGGUUGGAGACCGCAUUCUGUUGAAGGUCUCACCGUGGAAGGGCUUGAUACGCUUCGGAAAUCGUGGAAAGCUAAAUCCAAGAUACAUAGGGCCUUUCUAGAUUAUCGCUAGAAUCAGACAAGUAGCUUACAAACUCCAACUACCUCGCGAACUUAGUAACAUACAUUCUACUUUCCACGUCUUGAACUUGAAAAAGUGUCUGUCCGACGAGACUCUUGUAAUCCCUCUCGACGAGAUCGAGAUCAACAAGAGCCACAAAUUCAUGGAAGAACCAGUAGAGAUCAUGGACCGAGAGGUCAAGCAAACGAAACAAAGUCGUAUCCCGAUAGUGAAGGUUUGCUGGAAUGCCAAGCGGGGACCUAAAUUCACUUGGGAGCACGAGGAACAAAUGAAACUGAAAUAUCCUCAUCUUUUCGCUUAGUUAUUUGUAAUAGAUUGAUUGUUUAAACUCUAAUUUCGGGACACAAUUCUCUUUAAGGGGGGGAUGAUGUGACAACCCGAAAUUUCUAUCUUGUACAACCGUUCAAUUCAAUCAAAGUCAAACUCGUUUUUGUCAUCUUUUAGCAAUGUUUAGGGUCUUUUUGAGUGUUCUAAGCCUACUACAAUCAAGGUUUGGGUUUAGGGUCUUUUUGUAGUAUACUAAAACCAUCAGUGGUAUCAGAGCCUAGGAUUGUUUUCCACUAUACUUGAUGUUUUAUUGGUUUUCAAAGCAAAAAAAAAUUGAAUUUUCUGCAUUCUGGACAGUGAACUUGCCGAGUCCACUGGGGGACUCGCCGAGUUUACUCAAAAAAAGUCCAACUCGACGAGUCCAGUUCAUACACUCGCCGAGUUGGUGCUCCAGUGGGCAGUUUUUUUGAGUUUUUUUCGCCUGUUUUGGAUUAGAAUCAUUACCACAAAAUGUUUUAGUUCAUUAAAUAUGAUUUUGUUGAUAUGGUAAUGAUGAUUCUCAUCCAAAUAUAAGAUAAUUGUCAAAGUUUCAUAAUUUGUAUUCGUUUAUAUGAUUAGACUAAUUUUUUUGAAACUCUUUUGAUAUGAAUUAUCAUCACUUAUGAGUUUAAUUAGAUCAUAGACAAAUUAUUUGAUUUUUUUAGUUGGAUUUUUUGAUCUAAUUGUUUUUGGUGGAAUCCAAUAACUUGUCCUCAAGUUAUGGAAAGUGAAAGGUCUCAUUUUUAAAUGUCAUCAUAAAAUGGUUUUAGGUCUUCCAUAACUUGUCCUCAAGUUAUGGAACUUGAAGAGUCUUUUACAUAAAUGUUUUUAUGUACACCAUAACUUGUCCUCAAGUUAUGGAAUGUCAAGAGUCUUUUAAAAACAUGCCCUUUAGUUUUGGAAUUUGUAAAUGCAAAGUCUCACUUUUAAACAUUUAGUUCCAAACCCUAGAAUUUUAAAAGUUUAAAAUUCAAUCCAUAUACUAUUAUAAUAUUAAAGGUUUAACACACACACACACACACACACACACACACACACACACACACACAUAUANACACACACACACACACAUAUAUAUAUAUAUAUAUAUAUAUAUACAAGAGUAAAGUCAGUCUUACCAUUAGUAGACCUCAUUCACGAAGCCGGUCUAUAAGGGGGUAUAAGGUUGCUGCCUAUAAAAUGGUAGUUUAAUGGGUGUCCACUCUUACCCACCGCUUCCAUGACUGGUGGAGAGUCGUUAGCCGAACGGGUUUGACAGGACAUUUAAAUUUUCAUUGAAAGUAUAAUGAAAUACUAAAUAAAUAAAUACUUAUAAAUUCCCAAUCUUAGUUAUUUAGGAAAAUGUGAAUUUGGUGCUAACCCAUGAAAUUGCACUUUGCACCUUGUUAAGUCACUAGUGGAGCGUGUGUGGUUAACCGACACACUAAUUUGGGACUGACAGUGUGUGGCAAAGGGUAGUUUGAUGUUAAUUAUAGAUCAAUGGAGCGUGUGUGGUUAACUGGCGCAUUGAUUAGGUGGUUGCAACAUUGGGUGUACCAAGCUAAUUUGCAUGGAUAUUCACACCUUGUUUGUGAUCCUCGGCAUCCCAGUCACAAACUUCAAGGGCACAAUCAAGAUUUAAACAUGCUGUUGAAAAGUUCAAUGAAUCUCAAAGGAUCUAGGAAUUUCAAUCCAUUAAAACUUAAUUAUCAAUUUCGUUUUUCAUGGUGGAAAUUAGUAAAUUGUCAUUUACCUACCUUCAAAUAUUUUGAAUUCAGAUUAGGAAAUCCCUCUUUCGAAUUGUAAAAUAUUGUGUUGGGUCCUAGCCUUAAUAUUUCCUUUGGGUGUUAUAUUAAGGACUCAAAUCAAUUAACUUAAAUUUCUCCGAUUGUAGAUGUCUAGUUCAGACAACUAUGGUCUUCCCAAAUCUUUUGGAACUAGCUUUCCUCUUGAAGAUGAUAUCCCACAUGGCGAUCAAAGUGAAAGAUUAAUCUCUUUGUCGUGCAUUAGUGGAAAUGGAAAUCAUACUUCACUCCCUCCACCUCCUCCAAUUAUUCUCCCUAAGCCACAAGUUCAAAGACUUGAAACGUUCAAGAUCACUCAAGCCCUAUUGGAUAGCAAACACAAGGAUGGAAAGUUUGUGUGUGCACAUGUCUUGGAUAUGAAGUCACACAUAGACAUGUUGAGAAUGUUGGGUGUCGUGCUCCCAAGGAAGUUGGCUAUUGACUGGGUUCUUCAAUCACUUCCCGAGUCAUAUAGUGAGUUCAUUAAGGACUACUAUGUGACAAACCACCAUAUGACCCUUAUUAAUCUUACCUAUUUGCUUGUUACUGCUGAAUCAACAAUGAUUUGGCACAUUGGAAAAACAAAUUUGAUUGGAAGAUCUAAUUCUCAAACUUCCAUGGGCAAUGACAAUGGUAAUAUUGGAAGUCUAAAAAAGAUUUCUCUUCCCAAUGGAAAGGGAUCGGCCAUAGCCAACCCGGUUGACCAAAUGGUAAAGAGAAAGCCUAAAUUUGUGAUUGUCGCAUGUGCCAAUGAAAAAGAAGCCAUUUGUUUCUACUGCCAUUUGAAGUGAAGCUGCCCUGACUACCUGAAAGAUUUGAGAGAAGGUAAAAUCAAAAAGGUUUGACUCUGCUUCAGGUAAAUCUAUUAUUUGAGUCUAUUAAGUUCCUAAUUGUUAAUUCUUAAUACAUGAUGAGACAAGGUUGGAUUUUGAUGUUUUGUAGGAUCAUGCAAAAGGAAGGAAGCUUAAAGGAAGAGUAUGUUGAAUAUAGUCACAAAGAUGGAUUUCAAUCGCAUGGUUCGAUGAUCGGAUUUUUGAGCUGCUGCUUAAGAGUUAUGAUAGACUGCUUAGAAAUUUGUAAUAACAUAGUUUUCAUUUGUAAUUGCAUUUUAAGGAAAAGUUUUUCCGCAUUUUAUAAAUAAAUAAAAGUUUGUUUUUAUAUUUAUAUCUCAUUGCAAUGGCAUUUGUGAAAAUUUAUGUUUGUAUGUUUCUAUGAUAGCAAUAUAAAUUUGAUUAUUUCGUUUGUGGUAGUGUCAAAGUUUACCAAAUAAGGAAAGAUUCCCAUCACCCAAGUUUCAAUUGGAUAGAAACUUAGAAUCAUGUAACUUGUAUUGUGUGAUGAAUGAGAAUUUUCAUUUUUGGGAAGUUAAGACUGAUUCCUUGUUCACAUGUAUAUGUGAGUCAAGUGAAGGACUAGGGGAUCGGGUACAUUGGGUGUGCGCUGGUCAGGUCCACCUCAAAGAACGAUAACACUAUUCGUCAUGAUUUAUUAAAGUUUAGUAAAUAUGGUUAUGCUUACAAGUCUAAGUAUAAUUCUGAACAUUAUAAAAGUUUCAAUGUAUGGCAAAAUGAAUAAGAAGAAUCACCUUAGGCAGAAAUAUAAAAGUUUCUCCAAUCUAAAAAGAUGGGAUAGUACUUUAGUAUCAUGUUUUAUGAUCAUCUUAAUGAUUAUGGAAAACCAUAUCACAAUUGAUCCUCUAAGGAUAUCUUAGUGCAUUUGUAUGGCUAAGAAGAGGAAUUGUGAAUUACUGGAAUGGUUAAAUCAAAAAAGGUUAAUCAUACUUCGUUCCAAAUCGAGUCUUAGAGUCAAACUCCAAGAUUGUAACUUGAGUGACUUAAUCUUAAGAAAGGUUUAUAACACUCAUCAAAUGUAGAGUAAAAUGUUUCUUACUCUUGUACAUUUGAAAUUGGUAAGUUGUGAUGUCUUGGUAAGGACAAAGACCAACUAAGGCCAAUUGUGUGAAGUGUUAGUCUUGAUUAGAAUCCGCACUGACUCUUGAAUAUUUGUUUUUCAAGGAAUGGUUCUUGACAAGAGAGUCUUAUAUGUCAAGAGGUCAGUGGGAGUCUUAAAGAUCUUGAAAGUUUCAAGAACUAAUCAAGAGUAAACCUAUUGUUAAACACUAGCACAAGACUUGAGGUUUGUAACUUAUCAUGUUGACAUAUUCUUGUUUCGGUGCCCAUUCUAGUUAAAGCUGACUAUGUAUGUGAGUUCUAUGAGUUCUCACUUGUUUACAUAACAACUUGGAAGCAAUGGUAGGCCCUUGUACUGCUAGGUGGCAAGAAAUUAAGAUUGAACAAGUUCAGUCCAUAUGGGUUUGGAUUUGUCACUAACCUUGUUUUGUGAUUAUGGUUAUGGAAAAUUCACAUGGAUAAGAACACAUACACCAUAAAAAUCUAAGUGUCAUAAGGUUUCUCUCCAAUUCAUGAAAAUGGUUGUGAGGAAACGCUUUCACUAAGUAGAUUUUAAGGAGAUAGCAAUUGUGUUAUUUGCAUUCUCAAAUUCGAUUAUGAUUAUGGCAUCCCUCUUCAUAGUUUGAAAUUGUGAGAAAGGCAAAAGGGUCUAAACAUUUGGAACUUAUUGUCGUAAGUUCUGAAUAGUUAAGACACACAUGGAAGCAAUCUAAGGAAAUGUGUAUGAUUUUGAGAAGCCUAUAUAAAGUCUUAUCGAAGCAUCUCAUAUCAGAAAUCUGAAGUUUGGAAAGGAAGUCAAUAAGUAUUGAUUUCUAGAAGUCCAUCUAAUUUCUGAAUACAUAUCAAAGCUAGUGGGAGCAUAAGUGUUAUGCUAGUAAAAUAAUAAUUAUUAUCCUAGUGGGAGCAUAAUUAUUUUGGAAAGUGUUGCAAGUUAGCAAUGUUAAUUAUAGAAAAAAAAAAGUUUCAAUUUGCAAAGAUGCAGGGUUUGAAAAGUUGUUUUUCUAUAAUUAAGGGAGAGGAAUUCAUACUUCAUUUCGAAAUCUAAACGCUUAGAUUGAGUUUUUAAUCAAAUUUAGCUAAAUAUAUAUAUGAAUGUGAUGUUGGAAUGGUUCAACAUAAGGAAAUUCUAUAUAUGGAAUUGAUAAUUACGUUCUCAAAUUUUGAUUAUGAUUACGACAUCCCUCUUCAUAAUCAAAAUUUUGAGAACAUGGCAAAUAAAAAUAUUAUAGUAAAAGAUUGAUCAAGUAUCAUGUCUUUAUGUUAGACAUUAUGAAUCGCAUCCUAUAUGCUUCGGAUAUAGUAUCGAUUGUAUAUGCUAUAAUAUUCUCGUGUUCUAAAUUUUCCAAAUGCCUAGGGCAUUUAGAGGGAAAAAAGUCUAGAACUGGAUAUGACUAAAGUGGUUAAACAACUGUUAAGGACAAUCUAAGGUUCGCCAAGGAUUGGUCGCUUAAGGACAGUUGGAAGUAUAAUAAUGGAUGGAAUAUAUUGACAUUAUUAUGAAUAGAAGAGAGUCUAGUAAUAAUGAGUUAUUAUAUGGAAAAUAUGGAAUGUUUCCAUAUUGGGGGUUGAAGAAUAGAUGAGAAAGUUAGAAGCUUUUUAUGCAAGAAGGAUGUUCAAAGGAAUGUACUUUGAAUUUGAGACUUCAUUUCCAUGGAAUUGUCUUGUAACAAUCUCCAAAGGAAUAUUGUGUAAUAUCGUUUGUCAAGUCUCUGUGACUUUUGGUACAUAGACAUUACAAAAGACUCAUUGGAUGAUAGUUUAGAAUCUAACACUUUCUAGUAGUGACAAAAAAUUGGAAUUCUUACACUUGCAAUAAGGAUUUUGAAUUAUGAAAUGAGCAUCAUUGAAAUGUUUUUCAGUUGAUCUAUUUCACAAAGUCAGGACCAUAGACAAACAUAGUGUGCAUGCUUGGAGCAUGGCAUAGCUAUUGUUUUAAUUCAAGUAGUAAGUUGAUAAAGUUUUGGGACCAUAUAGGAUUAGUAUUAUUCUUGUGUUUCACUUUGCAUGUUUUGACUUCCCGAAUAACUAGGUUAUUCAAACCAUCCAUAGUCGAUCAUACUUUGGAAGUAGGUGUUUAGGCAAGACUGUCAUGAAUGGGUCUACAGUUUGUAUAGGUGUUUUAGACAUAGUUGUAGUGUUCAUGAGUACUCCUGGAAAAAAAUUCGAGUAUUGGAUUCAAACCAUGCUCAUCUGAAUCACUUCUUGGAUUUUAGCACGAGUGAUUGUGAGAUGAUAAUAUCUUAUAUUCUUGAAACGGAGACAUGUGAGUUGUAGUUGCGAGUCGGUUGCACAUUGACAUAUGUAAACGCACCAGUAACUUGGAUGUUAUAAAACAUAUUGUUGUGUGUAAUUUGAUGAGUAAGUACAAGCAAGCAUUUGGGUUGAAGUUUAUCUGUUCCUUUUACCCCAUGUGGAUAAAAGUGAUAUAUGUGGGCAUGUCGAUGAUUUAGUGAUGACCACCCUAAGUGCUUGGCCAAGCCUGGACUGAUUUGAUUUGUUCAAUUAGUCGGUUGUCAUAAAUCGGAAAUCAGGAAACAACAAAUGGACAGCGAGAAUGAUUGAAAUCCAUGUCUCCUGUCCAUAUGAUAUCUAGAAUGGAGGAAUAUAUGAUCCCUUAUCUAAUGGACGUGUCAUUGACUAGGUCAGAGUUCGACAACGGUUUUUAAGAGCUACGAUUGCUAGUCGGGUUGUGGAGUCCUACAUGCAAUAAUAGUUAUUAGACUUAUCCAAGUGGGAGACUCUUGGAUUAGGUGUCUAAGCCCAUAACUAUAAUUUGUAUGUACUUGACCCGAGAGUAGCAUGGUCCAUUUGGGUUGCAUAUCACCAGGACAUUUAUAAGAUGGACUUUUGAGAAGAGGUUAUUUAUGAUUUGUUAAUAUAUUAUAAGUUCUAAUAUAUUAACAUGAAAUCAUAUUAUUAUUUAAUUAGUAUUGAUCAAUAAUUAAUUUGGAAUUAAUUUUGUGAUCAAAAGAGACUAAUUAAAUAUAAGGGGUUGAUUUGGUAAAUGAUUCAUUCUUAUGGUGUGGGCCAAUGAUCCAUGAUUCUUUAGGUUGGGCUAAACCAAUGUUACAACCCAUGGAUGAUCCGUGGGGGUUUAAACCCAUGGAGCCUAAGGAAUAUGGAAGGUCAUGCACAUUAGGGUUUACAUUGUGUAACCCUAAUCCUAGCCACACUAUAUAAGAAGCCCUUAGCGUCCAAAAUCGACACGAGAGGUUCUUGGAGUUCAUUGAGUUGAUUUUGGUGCAAGAACUACUCUCUCAAAAGUCUCCUUUGUUCUAGGUGUGUUGUGAUUCCAUUUGAGGUGCAACACUUGGGGCACUAAGUUCUUGAAGGCCAAACUCAAGAAGUUCCACAAGCUACAACAAAGAGGUAAUUUUAUAACUCUCUUUUAUGUUGAUUAUGUCAUUUGCAUGCUAGUUGUAGGCUUAAUGCUUUGGAAUCAAUAUUUCAUGUAUAAUUAGAGAAAACAUAGAUCCAAAGCAUUUAGGGUUGUAUGUACACCAUAGGAUGUUGUAGUAUACUAAAACCCAUCAUAAAGUUGGAGUGGAAUUGGGUGAAAACUGUCACCAAGGUGUGGAGAAUUUCCUCCCAUGGAGUGGAGAAUUGCCUUCCAUUGCCUGGCAAGCGUGUUAGAUGCAUUUUAUAUGUAUCUUUUAGCAUGUUUUUUUUUGGUAUUUUUCUAUAAAAAGCUAGCUAUCUCCCUAAUGUUAUUAUAAAUUGCAUGUUUCUCCUUAUAUUUGUAGAAUGUCCGUAAUACUCACUUUUGUUAUGAUUUUCAGGGAAAAUUGGAGCACAUGGACACAUACAACAUCUCGGGAUAUGUUCUUGGAAGCAUUGGAGCUUGAUUGGAGAUGGAACUAAGGAUGGAUGCUGAUGAAUGAUCUGGAAUAACUUGAAAGAAAGAAUUGCACCCAAUAGACCUCAUUGCCCAUGGCACGAAUUGAUCCUCCUUUAUACUCACUACUACCCCAACUAUGGACUUCCUCAAUCUAGUGAAUGCUAUGAUCCCAUCGAAGACUUACAACACUUCCAUACUAUCUACCAACCCAGAGAACGCUAUGGCCACCUUGUAGUCUUACGACACGUCUAUCCCGCCAUGGUCACCGCCUAUGGUCUUACCACACACAAAUCCUUUCACAAAACACGCCGCUGCCAAUGCAAAAUCUGACGAAAUCAUGGUCGCACCCGACCCGAGAAUAGGAUAGAUUGUCAUACUCUUGAUCCAAUGUAAAGGCUAUACCCCAAAUACAACCAUGCAUAUAAUUCGAACAAAGUGCUCCAUUGAUAUCUUGACCAGCCCACACAUGUCCCUCUCAGUAAUAUAAUGAAUUUACCACGAUGCACAUCCUUAGGGAGCCCAUAGCCUCGUCCAAAGAGGGAAGAAAUACCAUAAUUCUAUCGAAACGAUAAACCUCAAUCAUUAACAAAAGACAUUCCCAUGAACGCUCGGAACAAGACCCCAUAUCUUGAUUGAGACUAAACAGAUUCCACCAAUACACAACCAGCUCAAGAAGACUUCCAAGGUGAUCCUGAAUGCUACCAAAACCUAAGCCUACUAUAGACCAAAAUUCCACGUCACCAUUGAGGGUAAACAUACCUAGAGACCAAAGGAACAUAAAAAAUACUAAACUUGAUGAUAGGUUGACACAUUCCUUGAACUUCAACUGUUACCACUUGAAACUUUUGGAGAAUGUCUACUGAAUGAUAAGCGAAAUGACCAAUGAUCGAGGACGCAUUGACAUUGGAUCUAAUGAACCAAAUCCUGUGCGGAGCUGAAUGUAUCCAACAUGGAAAUUGAUUUCCUGAUCGCCACAUACUAUAUACCCCUGCCCUCACCAAAUCCUGAACCGAGAUUCCAUAUACCUGCAAUGCAACUCCCUAUGAGCCAUUCUUCCAACAUUACGAACUCAAGCCGAUCGAUGAUCCUCCAAGAAGAAUAUCCAAUUCUCCCCCACUUAGGGUUCGACCUACCGCCCACUGGUGUUGAAAUCAAACCACAACUCAAACCGGUUCAACCAGGUAUGACUAUCCCUGACCCCGGGAAUGAAUAACAAACGCAUGAUGAUCUUCUAGAUAAGGACCAAUCAAUCCUAAGAGAAAUCUAGAUUUCGGCUGAAGACCUCUAAAAUUCCUAAUUAUAACCACUUUAACAUUAAGGAAUUCAUACCAAUACAUAUGCAAACACCGACUUACGAUCCAAAACAUACACCCCAUGCCUGCAAUCCCAACCGUCAAUCCAGUAAUUGACCUUCCUAUAUCCAAGGAAACAGACUCUUGAUCGCAUCACAAAACAUCUAUACCACAUCAAUCCUCAUGCGCACUCCCAUGCUAACAUAUUGUUGCCAAACAUCGCGUCCAACAGACCCCAAGUAGGGUUUACAUCCAUACUCUGACAGUCACGAGCCUGCUCACUCCUUCCCCGAACUCAGAAACUGAAAGAAGGCAUAAUCCUUGUCACAGAUAGCGACAAUCCAAUCCACAAAUUAACCACUCAACUUCCAGCUGCAAUCCCCCAACCUAUCAUAACAAUCGUUUCCUUCUUGAGUCCCCCGACUCAAUGCACGACCUCGAGCAACACCCUCAGGACCUUAGAACCAACAAACUCAUCGAGGUCUGCACCAAUCAACCCAAACUGAUAUCACCACUAGGGCCAAAACAAUUUCCAAGCCCAUCCUUAUGGAUGAGCAACCAUAACCAAAUGGUCGAUAGAUAUGGAACCACUUCCACGAAUCAUGGUACCAAACCAUGCUAUCUUCCCUGACCAGCCCUUAGGAUCCACAAAACUCUUAUUGAUUUGAGUAUAGAUCUUGUGUUUCCAAUAGUACGGACCCAAUACUACCUUCCACACCUAUCCAUACUUUCCUUAAGGAUCAUCUCGGGUCCUCUAAGAACUAUUCAUAAAAUAAUUCUAAGACCUGCUCAACAACAAAACAAUCGCACUAACAUACCCCCUAGGCUCUCCUAGGAUUCCCCAUCCCCUACCAUCAACUGCUGAGGGGGCUUCCAUCAAUGCCAGCCAACCGCUUCAUGAAUAUAAUUACAUGCAACAAAACUUAAAUAAUCUUUUGACUAAACGACCCAACCCUACAACGUUUAGAAUCAAACAAGAUUUACGCAAUAGGGCCAAAUCCUUCACUCUAGUAUUAUUUAACCUCCAUAGCAUGCAACUUAAUGUAUUCAUUUGAUAGUUAGCUCCCAUCAAUGUUAGUCCCACAAAGCACAAAGUAAGCAGUAUUCAAGUAGUGGAGUCGAGUGGCACUAAAACACAAUAAAAUCAGACAGAUCCUCAUACAAAAUUCUUGAUCUCUAUCUCCCAUCAUCUCGGAUACACGUUCACCCUGACCUCACUCACUCAAGAGUGGGUAAUAAUCCUCACGCUGACCCACCAUAUCUGCACCCACUCAUGAAACUUCCACCAACUCUUCUACACUCGUGUAUGUUAAUCAUACAUAACAUAGGAUCUUAUAGACAGUCGAAUACUAGAUUCUACCCUAAGCCCUUCAUCAAACAAGAACAAGAAAUAAGGCUAAACCAAAAAUUCUUAGGCUAUAGAAUCUUAGUUAUGUACAACUAUGAUGCAUACCUUAAGCAACUACAGUAAUGAUGUCAAUUUCAUAUAAGGAAGACCCUAGGCUAUCAGGCAUCAUAUACUCAGAAAAUUAUAUCAUGCAAUUCCUUAAGAUCCCUAUCCUAUCACUAGCAUGUUGUUCUGACCUCACUCACUCAAGAGUGGCUAAUAAUCCUCACGCUGACCCACCAUAUCUGCACCCACUCAUGAAACUUCCACCAACCCUACUACACUCGUGUAUGUUAAUCAUACAUAACACAUAAUCUUAUAGACAAUCGAACACUUGAUUCUACCCUAAGCCCUUCAUAAAACAAGAAAAAGAAAUAAGGCUAAACCAAAAACUCUCAGGCUAUAGAAUCUUAGUUAUGUACAACUAUGAUGCAUACACUAAGCAACUACAAUAAUGAUGUCAAUUUCAUAUAAGGAAGACCCUAGGCUAUCAGGCAUCAUAUACUCAGAAAAUUCUAUCAUGCAAUUCCUUAAGAUCCCUAGCCUAUCACUAGCAUGUUGUUCUAACAUAUCAUAAUAUCAAGUAACAAUAUGGUAGUUUGGGGUCUACUUACUGGCUUCGGCUUAUCGUACACAUCACAUCAUUUCUUGAUUAUUUUGAAAACAAUUUUGACUAGAACGCCGCACCGGCCUACAGACUAUCUAGACCACUCACAGAAUCUUCAGCAUGAUUGGACUACCUCACCGGGCCUUUAGCCUAUAUGGACCGUUCUCUAGGCCUUCAGCCUAACUGGUCCGUCUCACAUGCAUUUAGUCUAUCUGGGCCACCUUAGGUCUCUUGGCCUUUAGUCUCCACUGGUCCCCACACACAACAUGUCAGCAUAUACAUAACAUAUACACAUACAACAUAUCGAUAUAAAUAUUACCGAGUUUUUUGACUGGCAACACAAAGCAGUACAAUCUCAACCCACCCACACUACAUCAACAUAUACGACCGGUAAACAUAUAGCUAGUAAACAAAUAAUAGGCAGAUCUAAUAGAUCACUAAGCAUAACAUAAUCCUAUAUACCAGGAUACCGUUCUAACAUAUAACCACAACACAAAGCAUACUGUCACAUAUCAGGAUAUCUAAUCCAAUGGACCGGCCUUGGUGCCUUCGACCCGUAAGUACAGUGAGGAAAAGAUCACCUCAAUCCGCUGAUAAUCAAAUAACUGCUCAGAUCAUUGAACCGGAUAGCCUCACGCCAACUGACAAUAAAUACAAUCUUAAUCAAUAAUUAACCCGAUAACCCACAAUCCGAUGCGCACUCCAUAAACCGAUUUCCUAAAGGGUAAAAGUCCAUUUUACCAUUUUUUUACUUGUUCGAUAACCAAGGCGCAACCCAACAUGCAUAAAAAUCCUAAACCCAAAAUGGCAAUCCAAAGCCCAAAUCAAAAACAACAAAAGCCCAUUAUGGCCCAAUAACCUAAUUGGGCCCCAAAACCAUCACGAACAUACUUCCAAGAAAACCCUUAGUCUAUCUGUGGUCCAAAGUCCAAAGUCCAAUGGCCCAACAAGGCCUAAGUCUCAAAAAGCCCAAAAUGGCAAACUGGGGAGCACAUCUCGUGUACCAGGAAGCUACACACCACAUACUCACUCUCGACGCAUAGAGUAUAAGCAGUUGAUGCACAAAACAUCCAUUACGCCAAGCGUACUUCCUACGUACGCCCAACGUACUCAUUAGGGACCAAAAAUCCAUAUAAAGCUCUUAAUGGUUAAGCCAACGACUUCUAAACUCAUAUAUGACCCUAAUGAUAUGUCUUAACACGUAAAGUUGGCAACUUUACUCCUUUGCAUGGCUUAAUGGGACCAAAUCCUUAAUAACAUUCGUAAUAAACAUCGAAACUCAUGCAUGGUCCAAGAUAACUCACCAAGAUGACAUUUUUAUAAACAAGGGACAUCCCAAAGGCCAAGAUCCAACAUUCUAAGCUCUUGGAGUAGCUCAUACUCACAAGAAUGACUCUAAGGACCAAAUUAAACACAAAAUACACUUUAAACUAGAUCUAACACCUAGAGUCAUCAAUAUAGAAACUUUAUACCUUAAAAGGGGAGAUCAAAAUACAACAAGCCUAGAUCCAAAAGCUUCAAGCAAUCCCACACUUCUCCAAGAAGUUCCUUCUUCUUUUAUGAACACCAAAAACCAUGAAAUACCAACAAAAGCUCAAAAACGACUCAAAUGGGGACUAGGGUUUCAUUGCUGGGGUUUAGAGGGAUGGAGGCUAAAGAUAAUAGGGUUUGAUGGUGAGUUAAGGAGCUUAAAUAGGGUCCAAGACCCUAAAUUAGGGUUUGGGUCUGAUUGGAAUACGCCCAAUGUAAUUCUGGUAUGCCCAACAUACUCUCUGUAACAUCCCGAUUCCCAGGUGUGAGAUUUAAUCCUUUAAGCAUGUUUUUCCAUUGGAACUUAACGAGUUGACAGCCUCAACUCGGCAUGUUGGAAGGCUUUUGGGCCGCACAUUUUUAUGGACCAACUCUUCGAGUUAGUGAAGAGAACUCGACGUGUUGAUGGUUGAAUGGGAAACCCUAAAUUUUAUGGUCUUGCACCCUACCCUACACUCAUUCUCGUCAUUUCAAAAUCGACCAAUCUUCUCAUCUAUUUCCAAACUCGAAAUCAUUUUUGUCAAUCCUUCCUCUGUUUCAAACUUUCUAAAAUCGACAUUUCCUAUUGUGUCUAAGGAUUCACAAAUUCCUACUUUGUCUAGUCAUGGAAAAUUGGGCUCCAAUUCAAGAAACUCAAGUAAUAAAUUAAUUCACAUUAUGUUAAUCUACUAUGUAAAUGUUAUUCUUUCAAUGUGUUAUUGUGUUAUGUUAGUCUUUGAAUGUUUUAUGUUGAUGUAUAAAAGUACAUUAUUAUUAUAUUAUUCGGGUUAUAGAAUCAUUAUACGGUUUAUUCGAUUUUUUUCUGUUAUAUUAGAUCCUUAAUCAUCUUGUACAAGUUAUUCCUGCAAUACCCGAAGCGAAUCGAUUAAUACCCGAACCAAACCCAACUCGUAUUGGUUAAUUGGUUCAAUUUCCGGUUCAUACAAUUACCCUUAUUCGGUUUUCAGGUUAUUCGGAUUUGGGUCGGUUCGGUUCGGUUCCGACCCAAAUAACAUCCCUACAUUGUACUAGCCUCUGGUCAUACUUUAUUUAAAAAGUCCUCUUGUGGUCCCAAUAAAAAUAAAAAAACUAUUUGUUUGACUUACGCAAUUUAAUGCGAGUGGGUUAUAGUGAAUUUAAAAAUAAUUGCAGAGAUAUAUAUUAAUUAACAAAAAUUCUUACUAUUGUUACUACUUUUGCAAGUACAUGUUAUUACUUAACCAAUGAUUGUCAGAGGACAUGCUAAAUUGCUAAUUCCAUAAUAUUUGGUUGAGAGAGAGAGAGAGAGAGAGAGAGAGAGAGAGAGAGAGAGAGAGAGAGAGAGAGAGAGAGAGAGAGAGAGAGAGAGAGANNNNNNNNNNNNNNNNNNNNNNNNNNNNNNNNNNNNNNNNNNNNNNNNNNNNNNNNNNNNNNNNNNNNNNNNNNNNNNNNNNNNNNNNNNNNNNNNNNNNNNNNNNNNNNNNNNNNNNNNNNNNNNNNNNNNNNNNNNNNNNNNNNNNNNNNNNNNNNNNNNNNNNNNNNNNNNNNNNNNNNNNNNNNNGAGCAACCACGAACCACCUCACCACAAUCGGAGUACUAUCCGUUGAGAACGAAAAGAGAAAAAGAAGAAAGAAGAGAGAGAGAGAGAGAGAGAGAGAGAGAGAGAGAGAGAGAGAGAGAUCUACACCAACGGCGGAUUCAUCGAUGUUGGUCCUUGGACUUACCAACAAACCCCUUGUGAAUUCGGAUAGACACACAUUUUCAUAAAUAAAUCACCAUAUAAUAACUAACCUAAGGUUGUUAGAGCACAUGCUGGAUUUAUAAUACACAUUUGGCACGCUGGCAAGCUGCAACUGAGUAGUAUGGAGAUAAACCAUAUCGUAUAGUUGACUAUUAUGUAACGUUUACAUAUAGAACGUUCUAUAUAUUCUAAAAUACAUUACUAGCUUUGCUUACCAAAAAUAGAAGCCAAUCCGCUCUUAAUUCCUAACACUUCAACUUCAAUUCUUCCGUGGUCUUAAGUCUUGUUUCUUGAUCUAUAGCUUUUCUAAAUCCAUCCGAUUAGAAUUGCUAGGGAAUUAAUUUUCACUUCUCUUUCACAUUUGUAGUCAACCACAAACACAAAUUCUUUUAUCAUGAAAGAGUUUGAGCACCUCAGAAUUCCAAUUGAAAUCAUUAAACAUGCCACCAACAACUUUAAUGAUCGCAACUUUGUUGCACAAGGUGGUUUUGGCAAGGUAUAUAAAGGAGUAUUCGACCACUCUAAGGGUCAGACUGAGGGUGCUGUCAAGCGCUUGGAUCGUUCGAUAGAUCAGGCAGAUGCUUCGUUUUGGAGAGAGGUCAUGUUUCUAUCCAGUUAUAAACAUGAAAAUAUUAUCUCGCUCCUAGGCAUUUGUUAUGACAAUGAAGAAAGGAUCAUCGUGUGCGAGUAUGCAUCGAAUAAAAGCCUUGAUUUUUGUCUACGUGACCCCAACCUCAAGUGGAUUCAACGUCUCAAGAUAUGCCUUGGGGCUGCUUGUGGCUUGGAGUACCUUCAUGAUCACAAAGAUACCCAACAAAGAGUCCUCCACCGUGAUAUUAAGAGUGCCAACAUUUUAUUAGACGAAAACUGGAAUGCUAAAAUUGCAGAUUUUGGUCUAUCCAAAUAUGGCCCUGCUAACCAACAACACACGUUUAUUUUCUCGGAUGCCAAAGGUACUAUUGGCUAUUGUGACCCCAUGUAUGUAGAGACAGGGUUAUUAACAAAGGAAUCGGACGUCUACUCUUUCGGGGUUGUACUAUUUGAAGUUUUAUGCUCAAGACAUUGUGUUGAUUUAAGAUAUAAGGAUGAGCGCCGAAUUCUACCAAUGUUGGUAAAGAAGUGUCAAAAACAACAAACACUACAUACAAUUAUCGAUGUUAGGCUAAGGCAACAAUUCGAUCAACAUUCUUUUGAUAUGUUCGUAUCACUUGCAUAUCAAUGUUUGGAAAGAGAUCGGACUCAUCGUCCGUUAAUGCCUUCGGUCGUGAGCAAGCUUAAAACUGCACUCCAAUAUCAAGUAUGUUAAUAUUUUAUUUCUUUCUUUUCACUUUUUUAUCAUCUUAAUAUGUUCUUUUCAGUAUGAUUUGAAGAAAACUAGAAAGAGAAAGAUUUGUCCGAAACAAAAGAUUAUAUUCUUUCACGGUUGUAUAUAUUAUAUCAGAAAUCUAAAUAAUACAGCCUAAUUAUGACCUAAAUUUCGUGAAUGAUAUACGUAUUUUUAAAAAUUCAAAAUUAUUUUCAAUUUAUGAUCCUCGUUGACUAUCCCUUUGCGGAGAUCCAUUAAAGUUUCUAAAAUGAAAUUUUUGCGUGGAUAUGUUUACUUGCAAUAUAAAAGAUAAUUAAUUUUGCAUGAUUGUUUCAUUGUUUAAACCUGAAUUGCUUUUGUGCAGGAGGCAUUCGAGGUUAAAGCUCAAGAAGCAAAGAGGAAAAUCAUAUUUUUACAGAACAACGUAGACCAAUUAUAUCAAGAACCAGAAGCGUCAUUAAAAAAUGUCGUUGUUAAUCCCCUUCUGGAUUAUGAGAAAAUCUGUCCACCCGGGGGGAGCAAUUUGAUAAUUCUGUACACAACCACGGUCAAAACCAUCCCAAAGACAUUCCAAGAUUGCUCGAGUCUUCGACUUAUUCUCAAUGGUUUUAAGGUUUUAUACCAAGAAAGAGAUGUAUCGAUGCACGUGGAUUUCAGAGAUGAACUAUGGCGGAUUAUGGGCAAGAAAGUGGCACUGCCAAGGCUGUUUAUCAAAGGCAGUUACAUCGGAGGAGCCGAUGAGGUUUUACAUUUGCAUGAGCAAGGGAAAUUCCGGCCCCUCCUCGCUGGAAUACCAAUAAAAAAAUUGGAAGGGCCAUGCAAAGGAUGUGCUGGGAAUUUGUUUCUGGUGUGUCCUAAUUGUAGCGGUAGCAAGAAAGUGAAUUCUGGUGGCAGAGGGUUGCCAAAGAGCUGCAUGAACUGUAACGAGAAUGGGCUGAUCAAAUGCCCUAUUUGCUUCUGAAAUUUCUGUUCAUUAACAAAUGACAAAAUGUGAUUUCAAUAUUUUUAUCGUCAUUCAUCUGCCCUUUUGAUUUGGUUGUGUUUUGUUGAUUCGUUUCUAAAAAAUAAAUGAUUCACAAUUCUGUGGAUUUUAGAUAAAAUUAUUAUAUUAUCUUUUUUGUAGUACAUGAUAUAAGCCAUUUUUCAUAUUUAGUGUAUAUUGGCAUUGGCAUAUAUGUUGAGUAGAAUUAAGAUUGUAUAACUAUGAGAUCAUGGUAUAUAAUAAAAAGCGACCUCAUAAUGAAUAGUAUAAUUUUAUGUUUUCAUAAUUUGACCAUAAAAAUUUAUUCUUUCAUAAUUUAGGCAGAUUUUUUUUUUCAUAAUUAAGCUAAAAAAGUUUCUUAUGUUGAUAAAUUUGGUCUCUAAACUUUCAUACAUGGGCAAUUUCCUCACUAUUAUUUUGUAGAAAGACAUUUUCCACCCUUUACUUUGUAGAAUGACACUUUCCAGCUGUUUACUUUGUACAAUGUCACUUUUACCCCUCAAAGUUGAACGAUAAUUUUCACCCCUUCAACUUUUGUAUCUUGUCAUAUUUGAACAAUAAAAUGAUGAAUAGUAGUAAUUUCCUUAUAUGUGAGUAGAAUAUAAUAAGCAAAAUCUCGUUUGCACCCAACACUCUUUUUUGUCUUUUCAAAUUUUUUUUUCAAACACACUUUUUUUCACUCAAAUCUAAAAACCUAGAAAAACAUAUUCUUACGCAUGGGGUUUAACUUCAUCAUUUAUUAAUUAAAUGCAUUAGUCUUAUAUGUAAUGACUACUUAAGCUUUCCUUGAUACAUUUCAAGUACACGAUGCUAAACAUGUUGUGUAUCUCAAAUUAAGCAAGGUUGUGUUUUUUUCCCAUUAUUUCACUAGAAUAAAGGAGGCCACAAAUGCACUAUAAUGUAUAUUGCCUCAACUACACAUUUAGAUCCUCAAAUAAUCAUCAAACACAAUACGAGCAUGGAAUCCUAAUUGCUUUACCAUAAUUUUCUGAAUUAACCCUAGCAGUUUUUAUGCAAAAAAAUUUUUAAAAUUUUACGCUUAGGAUUCUAAUGUAACUAAUGUAAUCAACCCCUUACCUUACACUUAUUUCAUGCAAUGUCUCCAUUGCAUGCUAUGCAUAAUUAAAGUACAUAAAAGUAAAAAGAGAGAAUUGGAACAGACUCCCCUAGGAUAGAAGUGGCAAUGUUGAUAUUUCUUCUCAAUAGCUCCUUCUUCAAUUGACUUUGGCAUGGGAACAGCUUAUCCUUACCUUGGGUGUCAAACAUCUCAUGUGGUUGACAGCUCGUAACACAACUGGAAAAAGCUUCUUGUAAAUGACUUGGAAUGACUUCAGAAAUAUGGACAAUGCCUGCCUUGACUAGGAUCAAAUCGAUGACUCGGAAAAAAAAAAAAGAAUUGACUGAGCAACAACACGUCGAGUUGUAGUGGAAAAACUCAUCGUGUUGAACUUGAACUCGUACAGAAAUCGCGUUUAUCCUCAGGAACUCGCCGAGCUUAGGUUUUGACCACGACGAUUUUAUGGUUCAUCUCAUGAUUUUUUCUUCUUUCUGCUUCAGUUCUAAUUUCUUGGUCAAAGAAGGUAUUAAUGUAAUACACCUUUUUAAAACUUCAGUAACAUGACUCCUUUUAUCAACUAUAAUCAUCGGACUCAAUAAUAUUGCACAAAGUCUUCUAAUCUUCUCGUUAACGAUUCGAACCCUCACUUUAUCCUCUCACGCUUUAACUAUUCGAUAUAUUCUCAACCUAAAUUCUGCAAAGAUAAAAAAAAACUUCAUAAAAUAAGUAAAAACAACCAUUAAAAUUAAAGUUCCUAAAUUAUCCUACUUACUAGAAAUUUUUAAAAAAAUAAACAAACCAAAACACACAUAACAAAUAAAAAUUGUCUCAAACACUUAAAACACAAAUAAAAUUAAAAGGAUAAUUAGUCGUCAUCUUCUUGUCCUCUAGCUCCACUUCCUCCAGCUCCUCCUUGCCUCUCUCUCUCCAAAGAUCCUUCCAACAUGGAAUAUACGGAUAUGUAGGAUGAGAAUCGGCGCGUUUGUAACGCAUGUGUUUCCGGGCUUGCCAUUUUUAUCAAUGUAAUAGUCUAGGUUAACCUUUGUAACCCGUUUUGAAAUAAUAGAAGUGUAUUAUUUGAGUAUUAUGUGUUUUUGUGCUUAAUUGCUUAAUUAUGUGGUUUGAUUAAUUAAGAAUAAAAAUAAGCGUCAAAAUUCAAGUGUAAGAUAAACUUGAUAUCUUUGAAUAAUGUUGUAGUAGUUGAAACGAGGUUUCCGAAUAUAUAUAGAACACCCAAAUCUGACUUCAUAUGAGGAAGUUAUGAUUUAUUGAAGUUUCUACUUAGCGGUAUGCAGCCUGAAAUACUCGAUUUGAGAUCGAGCGAUUUUUAGCCGAAGCAAUCUAAACGAGGAUCGAAGGUCUCGUUGUUGGUAUCGAAGCGAUAAAAAGUUGGGCGAGAACGGACGUCAAACGAAGAAGUUAUGAAUUUAUAACGAAGUUUUUCUGUCGCGGUCUAUUAAAAAUAAAUAAUAAAAAUAAAAUCAAAAUUAGCCGACGGAGUCUAAACGAAAGUCGUAGAGCGUAGUCUCACCUACGCGUGGAUAUAAAGAACGUCGAAAAUGGAGUUCGUAUGAAGAAGAUAUGAAUUUCCGAAGUUUAUUAAUUAUUUUGUAUUUAAAUUAAAUCUUUAAAUCCGGCAUUAUCCGAAGGGGAGUCAGCAGUCCGAUCCGAAGUACGCCCCGCGUACUCCGAAGAGUGUCGACACUUCGGAUGACGCAUGCAGUGACGAUUUCGGAGGCCUGUACGCCCCGCGUACUCCGAGGCUCCAGCCUCCUAUAAAUAGGAUGCGAGGGCAGCCGACCCAAUUGCCAAUUUUCUCUCUUCUCUCUCCCGUUUUGCAUCGUUUUGCGUGCCAGAAAUACCCCGAAGCCCCGGUAUUAUUCUCGAGCCCCGAGGCAAGUCCCGAGAUCCCGAAGAUCCCGAGAAGUGCGGUUCCCGAGUCGAAGCUCUGCCCGCGAGAAGUUCGAUUUUUGUGGAGAUCUUCCAGAUCUGCUGAGGAUUACUACUUCUGCAAGUCGUAGUGCUGUCCGAUCAUCUUCUGAUCAAGUGAGUGUAUACUACCUUUCAUAAACACGAUAAUAAUACAAGUACGGUUUGAGUGUAUUAAGUAAAUUGUGGUUUAUAUGUGUGAGGGUGUAGUUACUUUCUUCUAACGAGUAACUAUGAAGUAUUUUAUACGAUAUACUUGUUAUGUGUAUAUUUUGUUGUUAUAUGAGUGAAUGUAUAUUCACUUUAUCCAAUCUCAUAGAUCUGAUUUGUUUCUAUGAAAUACGUGUUAUGUACGUAUGCCUCAUCUGUUAUGUGGAAUAUAUAUUGAAUGAGAAUGCUAUACAGGUUUUAAACUAUGUAUGAAGAUAUAUAUUUUUAUCUACUAAUAUGUUGGGUAGAACAUGGGUAGAUAGUUGGUGUGUAAUAAACAGAUGAGAGGCCUCGAUGUUGU